GAUGAGUAUAGUUGAGAAUUACAACGGUGAUGAAAAUGAUGAUGAAAGUGAAAAGAAAGAGAUUUUACAACGCAUGGAAUGUUUUAAUCGAUUAUUUGUUGCUGGAUCUUCUUCCGUGCAAUUAUAUUACGAGAAGUAUAUAUUGAGGCAACCAUGCAUGGAUUCAAAACAGUCAGGUAAGACAUGGAUCCGAGAGAUCCUCGACGGUCAUGAAUCACGUUGUAUGAUUAAUUUUAGGAUGUCUAAAAUGGUAUUCACAAGUUUGUUGAGAGUUUUGGAGACAAGAUACAACUUGAAAACUUCAAGAAACAUAUCUUCUAGUGAAAUGUUGGGAAUUUUUUUAUACAUCUUGGGCACCGGCGCAAAAGGAUCCCAAUAUCGAGAAAUAUUUCAGAGGUCUGGAUCAACAAUAAGUCGACACUUUGCAAUUGUGCUUGAGAAAGUUUCAAGGAUGGCCACUGAUCUAAUUGCACCCGAAGAUCCUUUUUUUAGCUCAAUACCCGAACAAAUACGUAAUGAUUCUAGAUAUAUGCCGCAUUUUAAGGUUAAAAUUUAAUUUUAUAUUAUUAUAUUUUAAUAUAUUUGGUUGAAUAAAAAUAUGCAUGAGAGUAAUAUGAUUAUUUGUUCAGGAUUGCAUUGGUGCAAUUGAUGGUACUCACAUUGCCGCUAUUCUUCCACCAAAUGAACAAAUUCCCUACAUUGGAAGAAAAGGUAUCCCGACUCAAAAUGUUAUGGUAGUAUGUGAUUUUAAAAUGUGUUUGACCUUUGUCAUGGCUGGAUGGGAAGGAUCGACACAUGACACUAGAAUAUUUCUUGAUACAAUUUGAGAUCCGAAAUACAAAUUUCCGCAUCCACCAAAUGGUUAGAUAUUUUUUUAUGUGAUUUUUUAAAUAAUAAAGUAUAAGUUCUUUAAUUGAUAAUUUUAAUAAAGUAAUAUGAUUAAUUGUUUGUUAUAUUAUGACUUGUAGGAAAAUAUUAUCUUGUUGAUUCUGGAUAUCCUCAAAUGAAAUGUUAUCUUGGACCAUAUAGAGGUCAGCGAUAUCAUUUACCUGACUUUCGUAGAGGUAGACCGGUAUCUAGUAAAGAAGAGGUAUUCAAUCAUUCACAAUCAUCAUUACGUAGCGUGAUUGAACGAACUUUUGGUGUUUUGAAAAAAAAUGGGCCAUUUAAGGGAUAUGUCAAGUUAUAGUUUUGAGAAGCAAACGAUGAUCGUUGUUGCUACAAUGACGAUACACAAUUUUAUCUGAAAAUAUGUCGGUCAAAAUGAUGCGGAUUUUAUGGAAUACGAAGAUAUUAACUGGGCAUAUGAGAAUAUUAUUGAUUCAGAAAAUGCGCAUGGUCGAGAAAGUGAUGAUGACGAUGACAACGAUGAUGAUGGUGAUGAUGACGGUGAAUUAAACAAUUCAAGUGGUUUUGAAAUGAAAUUAACAAGAGAUGCUAUAGCUUCUAGUUUAAUGAAUUCACUUUAAAUUGUAAAUGCUAUUGUAAAAUUUUUAGUAUUUAUAUUUGGUAUAUAAAUAUUAUCCCUUUUUAAAACUUUAAUCCAAAUAUAUGUAAUAUUUUAAUUCGUUAGGUUUAUGUUUUCUAUGUUAUGUUAGUAUAUAAUAUGAGUUAUAUAUUCAAAUACAUUUUAAAAUAAAAUAAUACAAAUGUGUUAAAAGCAUUAAUUAAAAAUAAAAAAUAAUUUUUAUAAUAAUACAAUCGUGUCAAUAUCUAAUUACAAAAAUUUAAUUUUUAUAAUUAAAUAUUUAAAUAUAGUUUAUAUAUUCUAAUUAAAUUUUAUAAAUUGUUGUCAUUAAUAUUAAUUACUUAGAAAUAUUUAAAAUUAAUAUUAUAUAUUAAAAUAUUAACAAUAAGUUAUAAUAAAUUAUUUUUUUAUAUUUUUGCUAAAAUAUCAUAAUAUUAACUAAUUUAAACAUUAUUUAAUAUUUGUUAUUUUAUAAUAUCAUGUCUAAAAUGGACAUUUUAUUCUUCAAAAACACUUUUUGAUAGCAAUGCCAAACACUCAAAUUUCUCAAAACACUUCUCAAAAGCACUUUUUAAAAGCAAUAAAGAACUGGCCCUUACUCAUUUUGAGUAUGUUCAUAUGAUAUGGCUAAAGAUUACCUAUUGAAAUGGUUAGUAAAGAAUAUGUUUUGGUGUUAUGUAUGCUUAAAUGGUAACUGAAACAAAGAAACUAUAAAAGAGUAAAAUUUUUGCAAAGAAGCAGUUUUUGGACAACAGCAGUGACGUGAAUUUGAAAAAUCACCAAAAAUAUUAGAAAUGGAAUAGAGAGUGAAUGAUAUAUAGAGCUAAAGCUUAUCAAGUCUAUUUUUACAUGAAAGAAACGGUGUAGGCAAAGAAAUUUUAUAUUUUGAGAUAUUUAAAUUUUAGUUAGACAGGGUCAGAAUGGUUUUUGAAGUCCCCUGUUCUAAAUUUAAAAAAUCAUUAAAAAUUUUACAGAAAGAAUUAUGAGUUAUAAUUUAUAUGUAUAGAUUCCUUAGUGAGUCUAUUUUCUAUAAAAAUAAGAAGAAACACCAUAUAAAGUCUGUACAGUGAGAUAAUUUAUUUUUAGUGAGUGGUGGUCAGAACCAUCAGUCAGUGAAACAGGGGAGUCUUCAAUGAAUAAACUGUACUAAUUCGCUAAACCAAUAAUUCUAAAAAAUUUAUUGUAAGAAUAUAUAUGAGUCUAGUUUCAGGAAAAAGUUUACGGAUUUAAAUUUCGAGUUUCAUAACUCAAAUUAUAAUUAAAUUAGUGAUAGCAGCGCAGGUGGACAGUUUUGUUGUGAAUAGUGAAAUUAAUUUUAAAAGUAAAUUUUUAUGCUCCGAACUAGUAAGUUAAGUUAGAUGACACAUCGUGCUUGACUUCGGCAAUGGUCUCGGGUAAGGGGUGUUACACCUUUCUUUCAUACCAUCAACCAAAACAAUUCUAUUAAAUCUCAUUGCUAUUGGUUGGCGACAUUCAAAUAUACAUCUAACUAUUGUUGUCAAAAUUACUUCAUCGGAAUAAACGCAUACGAAAAAUUGACAAUCCAUUUUCAAUACUAAAUAUGCAAAAUUAAUUAAAUUUCUCAAUAUUUUAUUUGAAAAAAAUACUGAAAAAAAUUAAAAUUCAUAUAUACUAACCUUGCAUAUUCUUCUUUGUUUUCACUUCUUUUACAUUCAAAAUUUUUCCUCUUUUCCUCUUAUCUUCAAAACCGUUCAAAAUACAUUGCUUAAAUAGGGGUUCAGCACUGGGUGCCGCCUUUUAGCCACCCUCCACUGGGUGCCACUUGUCAAGUACCCUCCACUGGUCCCGUCUCUCAAUCACCCUCCACUUCUUUAACCCGUAUUUUUACUCGAUUUGACUCAUGUAUAAGGACAGAAUACAGGUGUCACCUCUCUCACUCCCUCUAUAAUUAAUAUAUAUAUAUAUAUUACCCCAUAUCAUUUUGUAAUGAUGUUUUGAUGAUCAAGUCAAAAAAAAAAAGUGGUGCCGCCUCCUCCAUACCCUCCACCUUUAAAACUGUUGCAAACAUACUAUUUUGGUAAAUAAUGAUAUUGGUAUAUCAUUUAGGUAUUUGAUUUUUAUUUUUGUAUUAUCUAUGUAAAAAAAACAGUCUAAUUUCUAUUUUUGAAUAAAUUUAAACUUUUAUUGUAUAUUAAUAACUAAAAUUUUAAAGACACUUUUGUCUUUUAAAAAUUUAUAUAAUAAAACAAUGUAAACCGCCAUUAAAACGGAUUAAUCAGUUCAAAUUGACAAUCAUUACAUAAGUUGCUACCUAUGCUAAUGUUGUUGCUUUUUCUGAAAAUUUUAGUGACUGGACAAAUAAGGGGUGGUAGGCUCAUUACUUUUUAAUUAUUAAUUAAAAAACUUAGAAAUUAAAAGAAUAUAUAUUGAAAUUUAUAAAAAAUAAAAAUUGAAUAUUAAAUAAAUAUAAACAUAAAAAAUGUUAAAAGUUUAGAAAUUAAUUUUUUUUUUAAAUUGAUUAGUCAACUCUUAGUGAAAAGGCAUUUAUUGAUCAGUAACUCUCAUUCAGUUAAUUGACCUAAUCCACUUUAGGUUGAGCUUAAGCUUAGAUUUUUCAAUUUUAGAUCAACAUGUUUUAUUAUUAAAAUUAAUAUAAAAUAUAAAAAAUAAUUAUAAUUAUAUAUUUUUAUAAUUAAAUUCAAAUAAAAAUGUAUUUAAAAUGGAGGAUAAUAUACACUUAAUUUAGCUUGAAUUCAUCUCUUUCUGAUUGUUGCAACAAUAACGAUGAUAGUUAAAGUAAAGUUCAAUUGACACUUAUUAUUUUCUUUUAUAGGUGUCGUGAUUAAUUUAAAAAUAGAUAAAUUUCAAAAUUAUAUACAAACUUUAGCUUAAUGUGUAAUUUUAUACAUGGAUUUUAAUUUCAAGUAAUUUUAUACAUGAAAUUUUGAUUUGAUUCAAUUAUCAUACAAUAUGUUGAGAAACGUCAAUGAUCGUAGUUAACUAGUGAUACGCGGAUGAUGAGCACAAGAGAAACAAGGUAGAGGAGAAAAGGCGAUAGCUAGGGCACGAAAAAGAGAAAAGAAAAUAACCGGAAGUAACUUUCAUUAAAAUGGUAAAAAAGUAUAUUUUAAAUUAUAAUUAUAAUAUAUUUAUACAUUAACAGUUUAGUCCCUAACCAAUUAACAGUUUCUAGUUAGAUUACAAACUAAAAUACUAACUAACCAGUGACUAUCAACUAGCCUUUCAACAAAACAAUUAUUAACAUAAUUAUUGAUAUAAUUUUAUUUUAUGUUACAUAUUGUAUAUAUAAAUAAUUAUAUUUAUUUAAUAUAAGAAUAAAUUAAUGUAUUUAUUUAUUUUAAUUAUGUAUGAUUGAAUCAAAAUUAUGAAUAUGAUUUUUUUAUAAAAAAACAACUUGAAUAUCAUGAGGGUUUUUUACAAAAUUAUUAUAAAAAAAUAAAAAACAACCAAAAUAUUAUAACUUUUUUUAUUUACCAAAAUAUUAUAAUUUUUUAUUUACCAAAAAAAAAACAAAAAACAGAAAAAAAAACCUGCACCAAAUUGACAACACCCUGGUCAGGCCAAGGUGAUUGGCGGCACCAAAGGUGCCAAACUCAUUGGCGGCACCUAGCUUAUAAUAGGGCCGGUCGGUGGUUGGGGGGAGAAGGAGGGGAAAGAAAGAAAGAAAGGAGAGGAAAGAAAGAAAGAAAGGAGAGGAAAGAAAGAAAAAGAAGGAAAGAAAAGGAAAGGAGAAGAGAAAAAAAGAAAGAAAGAAGAAGAAGAGGAAAGGAGAGGAAAAAAGAAAGAAAAAGAAGGAAAGAAAAGGAAAGGAGAAGAGAAAAAAAAAAGAAAGAAGAAGAAGAGGAAAGGAGAGGAAAAAAGAAAGAAAAAGAAGAAAAGAAAAGGAAAGGAGAAGAGAAAAGAAAAAAAAAAAGAAGAAGAGGGAAGGAAGGAAGGAAAAAAAAAGAAAAAAAGGUAAUUUUUAUUAUAAAUUUAAUUUUUUUGUAAUAUUUGUGUGUUAAAAAUUUAUGUUAUGUAAUGUACAUUAUACGUAUUUUAUUAUUUUAUUUAGCAUAUAUAUUUUAUGAAAUACAUUUAGAAUGAAAAAUUCGGGCAAAUUACUAAAAAAAGCCCUAUUUUUUUAAAAUUUACCGAAAUGGGCCCGGUAUUUUGUUAUUUACUGGAAUGGGUCAUUUUCUCGAAAUCGCGUCCACGUCAGCGCGAUGUCAAGGGACGUGUCAGAACAUCGCGUCCACGUCAACGCGCUUUGCUUACGUGGACACAAAUCGCACCUACGAGGACGCGAUUUGCUGAUGUGGAUGAACAGUUUAUGUUUUUUAGCUUGGAAAACUUUGAAAGGCCAUAAAUUUUGGCUCGGUUGUUCGAUUAAGACGAUUUUUUUUAUUUCGAAUAACUUUUCGAGAUCUACGUGCUGACAAACAACCAAAGGCGGUUUGCCGCAGUUUUCGUCGAAAAAGAUCCUUUUUUGCCCCUAAAUUUCGAUUUUUUCGGUUUAAAAUUGAAUUUUGAAACAUUCAAAUCAUUAUUUUCCUUAUUUAUUUGAAGUAAACACCGUAUUUUUUUUACAGAAUUGUUGUAUUAUUUUUUCUGAUUUGACACGUGUAUGGAAUAGGUCCGAUAAAUCGUUAGAACGUAAGUAAUAUAAUUAAGAUAAUAACAGUAUUUCUAUAAUAUGUCAAUUAAUUAGUUUAGCUUAGUUGGUUAAGAUGCUUGCUCUUUUCUCUUAGUACCUUGGUUCAAAUCUUGUUGGUAACAAUUUUGAAUCUUUUUUGUACUUGUUGCUAUUGAUGUAAUAUUGAAGAGUUAAUUGAUUAAAAAAAUAAAUACAAGUACAAAAAGAUUCAAAAUUUAUUUUUUCAAAAUACUAAAAAAGCCCUAUAUAUCGAAAUGUGCCCGAUAUUUUAUUUUUUUGACCGUUGGGUACUGUUCACGCGCGGGCUGAAAUCGCAUCCACGUCAGCGCGAGAUGCUGACAUGGAAGGAAAUCGCGUCCUUGAGAGCGCGAUUUCCUUCCACGUCAGUAUCUUGCGCUGACGUGGACGCGAUUUCCUGACAUCGCGCUGACGUGGACGCGAUUUUCAGGAAAAGGACCAUUCCGGUAAAUAAUUAAAAAAUGGUUCCAUUUCGGUAAUUUUUGAAAAAAAAGGCUUUUAUUGGUAAAUUGCCCGAAAAAGUUAUGGUAUGUACAUUGUAUGUUGAGUAGGGAUUUUUUUUAUGAAAUUUACUUAGGAUGUUGAAAUUAGUUGUUUUAGGAAAAUAGUAUUAAAAGUAAAAUGAUAAAGAAAUAUGUUUAAGAAAACAUAAAACACGAAAAGAAAAAAAUAGAAAUUGUAUAUUUAUCGAAAAUAAUAAAAUGCGAAAAAAAUUGUAUAUGUAAUAAAUUUCAAACACAAUGCAUUGAAAUAAUGUAAAAUUAUAAAAUAAAAAAUUAUGAUAUUUUUUAAAAUAAUUAAAUGCGGAUAAAAAAAUACGAACAAAUGACCGAAGUACGAGUAUUAGUAAAUUUUUUAAAAAUUCAGAAAUAAUUAAUACAAAUUAUUAAAACAAAAUGUACUGAAAUAAUAUAAAAUAAUAAAAUACGAAUAAAUGGCCGAAGUAAGAUUUUUUUACUAACUUUUUUUUCAACUUGUUGGCAUUGCAAUGAUUCGAUUGAUUGGAAGCGAUAGACACAUAUCUGAUGCGGCUAAUAACGCGGUAUGAUUUAUUAUUUGUUAAUCACGAGUUCUAUUUAUUUAAAAAGGAUAUACGCAGUAUAUACAAAUAAAUCAUGUUAUCGUAAUAUUUUUUGUAAUUUAACACUAACAGGACUCGUUCCGAGUAUUAAGGGGCCGUGUGAGUGUUUUAAAGAAAGCUCCGGAUGCACGAUUGAUGCCGUACUUGGAGCUAGCCGGAUUUGGGUCAGUAGCAUUGAUCUGGUCCUCCGACUUGCACUUUGAUUUAUUAUCUGCGCUAGUGGAGCGGUGGCGCCCGGAGACCCACACUUUUCAUUUUCCAUGUGGGGAGUGCACGGUGACCUUGGAGGAUGUUGCAUUGCAGCUUGGGCUCCCAAUUGACGGGAGUCCCGUAACGGGAGUAUCUUCAUUUACCGAUCCGACUGCACUUUGCUAUCAGCUCCUAGGAGACUCGCCAGGGGACAGUGAGUCAUAUUUUUUCGGCAUAAAAUUGACAUGGCUGAAAGCCAAAAUUGGACAAUUAUCAGCGACUGCAACUGAAGGUGAGUUGAUGUGUGCUGCUCGAGCGUACAUCAUGCAUAUGGUAGGGGCAGUACUCAUGCCUGAUGCAAACGGCGAUAAUGUGCAUUUGAUGUACUUGCCCCUGUUAGCUGAUUUGUCCACUGCUAGGUCGUAUAGCUAGGGUUCCGUCGUUCUAGCAAUGUUGUAUCGGGAGCUUUGUCGGUCGACAAACCCGAAUGUUGUAGACAUGGGCGGAUGCCUCAUACUACUGCAGUCUUGGGCGCUUUAUCGGCUGCCGUUUUUGGCAUCCGUUAGUCACCAACCAUAAGUGUAUCCACUGCUGAAUAGGUGAUAAAAUAUAAAUUGUCAUUAUUUUGUAGUCAUAAUGUAUUGACUAAUGUUACCAACCCUAAACCCUAUAUUAUUUUUUGUAGGUGGAGUGUUCAUCCAGGCAUUGGGAAGUCGUAUGAUGUCCCGAUAUACCGCCUCAUGAUUGAACAGCAUGCCCGGAAAGGGGUAAGCUGCUAUUCUAAUAUUCAUGACAUCUAUUCUAUUUCUAUAUCUUACUCACACGUUAUGCCUCUAACUCGUUACAAUGUUAUUAAUCAUGCAGUUUAUAUGGAUGCCAUAUCGUAGGUCAAAAAUUACAAAUGUUGUACCCUCGUCCGCAUACGUUGAUUCCCACAUAUGGUGCACUAACGCACCAAUUAUCAAUUUCAAUGUAGUCGAGUGGUAUCACGAAGAUCGGGUGCUACGACAGUUUGGUUGCAUCCAACCUAUCCCGGAUCCGCCGUGCCAGGUGGGGGAAGUUCACGGCAUGACUAAGAGAGGAAGAUUUUAAUUGGAUUGGAGAAUUAAGCAUCGGAAAUUUGUAGCACUGUGGAACGAUCGAUUGCGUCGAAUACCUCAGAUGGUUAUGGCUACCGACCCGCAACCAUCACUAGAGUAUAUUCAAUGGUAUUAUAGUUGUGGGAAGCCAUAUAUACUUGGAGGCCAGUCGACUGUAAUCCCCCCGCACGUGCAGCAACUUGAGGGAUCGGACGCAGCGGACCCGAUGGAUCCAGAUCCGGUGGCAUAUUAUUGUCCGCAACCAGCAGAGCUCGAGUAAGAAGCCCAGCCAGAUCCCGAACAAUCACAGUCAAAUGUGGAUUCACAUGGCUAUCGUCCGGAUUUGGCGGGCGAUGACUAUUUUCUAAGCUUCGCCUACGACUUUGAACUGUUUGGAUCCUACCCGCCGCAGUACAACAUGCCCGGCCCGUCUGACCCGUAUCCGCAGCAUCAUGGGACUCAUUCCGGAUCAAGUUCAUCCGUGGCGAAUGAGCCACAGGAUUUUUCCUCUAUGUUUGCCACACCCCCACCUGCGCCGAAUGAUGAUGUUGGUCAUCGCCCAGAACGUGAUCGUCGACCUCCGAAUAGGUAUACCCUAGGACAACACCAUCGAACCAUCAAUUUUAGGGGCUUAAUACACUUUUUGUAUAAAUUUAAUAUUUCUAAUUUAUUAUUUGCUUACUUCUGAAAAUUUUUGUAUAAAUUUAAUUAUUCUAUUUUUUCAUUAUAUUAAAGCUGAAUCCAAUUAUAAAUGUCUCUAUUGUCGAUAUAAUUUUAAUAAUUCCUAAUGCGCACAUGGUAUUUUAUAACUUAAUUUGGAUACAAUUUGGAUACAAUUUAAGCAUAAACAUAAGCCGAAUAAUAAAAAUUAUUUCAAAUGAAUUAUACUUUUUAUAACAAUAUACAUAAAAAUUUUACAGCAUUAGGUCAAUUCUGAACCGAUCCGGACGACUGUCCAACAUUAAAGUUUCGGUUAGGGCAUUUAUUCCGACUAUGACCACUUAACCUGCAUAUUCCACAAUGCUUUCCGUCAGAUUUCUCCCUAAUGUCCAUCUCAUUACGGAUUCUGCUUGACUGCGGACGACCCCUUGGAUUCCUCCGUAGCCCUCUGUGUAACAGCCCGAUUUUGGGUCUAGAUGGAACAGUGGUUUUGGGACCACAAAUCCGACAAGGAAAAAUUUAUUUUAAAAUUAUGACAUGGGUUGCAUUAUGAUAAGAAGGUUGCAUGAAAAUACUGAUAUGGUAAAAUAAGGAAAUAAAGUGAUAAAAAGGGUAAUUGAGUUAUGUCAACAUUGGAAAGUAUAUUAUGACAUAUUAUUCAAGAAAGGAUUAAAUUGCAAAAGUGAAAAAAGUUUUGUUACCCAAGAGUAAAUACUCAAAAUUUGAGGGGUUAAAGUGUAAAUAUAAAAAAUUUGAAGGACCAAUAGUGUAAAUAUUUUAAGGAUGGAAUAAUCUAGAUACUAAGGAAGAUGGAUGAAUUGGGACCAAAUUGAAUAGAUGAAGAAAUUAUGAGGGACUAAAUUGUAAUUUUACCAAAUUUAAUGAUGACUCAAUGAUGGAAUUUUAAAAUAACAUAAAGGGAAAAAUGGUCAAUUAGAAAGAGAGAGAAUUCUAGAAGGUAAUGAUGAUGUUUGUGAUAUUUUUAAUUAAUUAAUUAGUUAAAUGUUAUUUAAUUAAUAUUUUAUUAAGAUUUUUAGUAAUAUUUUAUUAUUAAAUGAUUAAUAUAAAAGGGAGGAAAGAUGAUGAGAAAUAAUAAUCUUUUUCAUGCAUCUCACGUUGAAGAGAAGAGAGGAAAGGAAGUUUUACUUUCUUUACAAUUUGGUCCUUUUACAAAAAAAUCACCAUUUUCACUUAGAAAUUAAAAGAAUUUUCAUAUCCAUCAAGAGAGAAAGAUAACAAGGAGACUAUGGGGAGCUAGAAUAUCAAGUUAGAUUCAAGAAAUAGAAGCUGGAGGAGAGAGAAAAUCAAGUUAAAGAUUGAAAUCAAUAGCACAAGGUAAGAACAUCAAGAUUUUUAUGUACUUUUGAGUUUGAUAUUAUUGGAAAUAGCAUGCAAAAGAUGUUAUAGUAGAGUUUUCUUAUAUAAAGUCUUAUGUUCUUGAUAUAUUAGUGAAGAUAAAUAAGUGAAAGUGAUGAGAAUUAUUAUAGAGAAAGGGAAUAAAGAAGUUAUAAACUUAGAAAUUAACAUGUUGCACUAAAAUAGUUUUGGGCAGCAGCAGUAGGUUAACUUUGAAAAAUCACCAUAAAUUGUGGAAACGAAAUUAGAGGAUGAAAAAAAUAUGAAAUUAAAUAUUAUUGAGUCUAGUUUCACAUAGAAGAAACAGUGUAAGCAAUGUAAUUGUAAAUUAUGAGAUAUAAUAGGUUAUGUGAGAUAAUGUCAGAAUGAUUUCGGGUUCCCCUGUUCUGACUUUUUAAAAUCAUAAAAAAUUGGAGAAAAAUAAUUAGAGGCUUAAAUUUAUAUAUUUAAAUCCUUAAUGAGUCUAUUUUCAAUUAAAACAAACGGUAACAUCAUUUGAAUUCUGUAUGAGGAGAUAAUUAAGUUUUAGUGAAGAAGGGUCAGAACUGUCAGACAGCAGAACAGGGAUGAAUUUAAAGAAUAAACUGUACUUAUUGGCUAAGCCAAAAAUUCUGAAAAUUUUAUGGUAAGAAUAUAUGUGAGUCUAUUGUCAUAUAAAAUUAACAGAUAUCAAUUUUGAGUUCUGUAGCUCAAGAUAUAAAUAAUUUGGUGACUAUGACUCAAGUGGACAGCUUUGAAUGGAUAUAAAUAAAUGUGAAAUUAUAGAUAAUGUUACAUAUAAGCAUGUUAUAUAUAUUAAGGAUGUGGAAUGGAGAGGAGGAGGAGGAAAAUAUAUGAUUAUUCAACUAGCAUGAGUUUUUAUUAAUAAUGACCAAUUUAUAUGUUUCAGGGACUAAAUUGAACAAAUGUGAAAAUUUAAGGGUAAAUUUGUAAAAAUGUCAAAAAGUGAUCAAAUUGUAUGAAAUGAAUUAUUUUAUUAUUUAAAUUAGUAAAUUUAAGGAAAUAUUAAUUUAGAUCAAGAUUGGAUAGAAAUUCGAGAAAAAUAAAAAAAUUUAAAAAUGUCCCUGAAUUUUGAUAUUUCUGCAAUUUAGCCUGGUAAGUUCGUAUGAACUAUAUUCUGUAUAAUUUUAAUUAAAGUGAAUGUUAUUUGAUGAUGAAUAUUAUAUAGAUAUGUGUUUUAUUAUUGAAAUUGAAUUAUUAUUGGUAAUAUGUACAAUUAUUAGAUGCAGUGAAAUGAUUAUCGGAAGCUUGUUGGAGAUAUAUCACAUUAUCUGUUGGUUCUAUUUGUAAUUUUGGAUGAAUUGAUUCUGGUUAUAAUGGCGUGUAUAAGUUAAAUUGGUUAACGUUAGCUCAUUAAUGUUUUGAUUUUGAUUGGUUAUAAAUAUGAAUGUUAGAUAAAAAUGAAAUGUCUGAAAGUUAAUUAGUAAACUCCGGUAAUGCCUCGUACCCUAUUUCGGUGUCGAAUACGGUAAGGGGUGUUACACUCUGUCUGGGAGAAGCUCGAAAGUCGUCGACAGCACCUCCCACGUAUAUAAAUCAGGCAGGACGGGGAACUCAUUCUCCCAGACACACAAUGUGCGCUCCAGCGUGUACACAUCAUCGACAUAUUGUUCAGCAUCAAGGUUGACUUUAGCACAAGCUGCCACGACAUGCGCGCAGGGAUAAUGAUAUGUUUCAAACCUCCUGCACUAGUACUGUCUGUUCCGGAGAUCAACUCCGUAGGACCUAGUUGGUAUACCAGGUUGACGACUGAUGGUCUCAGUAACUUGAAACGUUUUCAGUCGUCGUGUCGUGAAUAUAUUUCCACGUUCAUUGACCUCGCCAACUGACGGUUUGCGACCAUUGCAUCCCUGACAUGUUCGACAAACACGUGUCCCGCCUGAAUCUGGUCGACUUGCUGCUGACCCAUUAUUGGCAUCAAAGUAGCCAGCCUGUAGAAAGUAGCAGAAAAUACCGAUGCAAUCGGAAGAUGACGUGUUUUCAACAAGACAGCGUUGAUCCCCUCGACUAAGUUUAUGGUCAUAUGGCCAUAACGAAAGCUCUCGUCAAAACUUUGAGCCCACUGCUACGGCUCCAUUGUGCCCAAUCAUUAUCAGAAAGAUGUGUUUGUCUGUCCCUCCAUGUCACUCUCAAGUCGGAUCAUUCUUUGCCGGAAAAUAUGUGGCUCUAACUCGUACGCUGUAUACGUAUUAAGGAAAAAUAAGUUCUAGUAAGUCGAUAACAUCAAACAUUACAACUUAUAUUGAAAAUAUAAGGUUAUGAUUUACCCAUUGCCACGACUUGUCUCUUCCACUUUGCAUUCUUAUAAUCUUUGUGGAAGUUAGCCGCAAUGUGACGGAUACAGUAAACGGAUCUUCACGGCACACCGGAACGCCUAAUAGCUACAAUUAAACCCUACCCUCUAUCGGAGAUGAUGCAAAUGUUAUCGUUUCUAAUAACAUACUUCCGCAGAUUUGUGAAGAAGAAUUCCCAAGACUCCAUGUUCUCUUUAUCUACAAUAGCAAAUACUAUUGGGAGCACGUUUCUGUUACCGUCUUGAGUAACUACAAGAAGUAGGAUCUAUGUAUAUUUUUCAUACAGUCAGGUCUCAUCCACCUGUACAAAUGGCUUGCAGUGGGGAAAUGCCCGCACACAUGGAUCGAAUGUCCAGAACAUCCGAUGGAAAAUCCUUUUUGCCGGCUGUAACUGGUCAUCCGGGCCGUAAUAUGGCAUUGUCUGCAACUCAAUCACAAUCCUCGGUAUGUACUCCCGCAUAGCAGCUAUCCAACCUUGAAGAUCGUUAUACGAUGAAUCGUAAUCCCCAUACAGUUGCUCCAUCGCCAUCUGUUUAGCUAUCCAUGCCUUCCGAUAUGAGACUCGAUACUAGAAUCGUGCUUGCAUUUCGGCAAUCAGUACCGAAACUUUAAUAGUCGGCAUGUCCUUCACCAUUGGCAUGAUACACGUAUAGAUAGUUUUUGAAUCAAGUUUUCCAUGAUCUUCUGUCAUACGUGUUAAUGUGCAUGUAUGAGGACCAACAAAUUUUCGUAUCUCCCACAUCUGAGAACUUCUAAUGAAUGCAGCUCGUACCCGCCAAUUGCAGCCUUCUGCUGCCUUCCAACACUCUCCAACAUAUAUUGUCAGAGUAGACACGGAGACUUUAUAAUCCACCGAUAUCUUCAUGCUGUACCGUUUAAUGGCAUAUAUGCACUCUUCUUUACACUCGAAUCUCUGGCCUAUGAAUAACUCCUCAUCAUCAGAUGUUACGGCCAGCCCGUGAGAAUGAACUAUUUCAGGGUACUCCGAAAACUCAGCUACAUACGCUGCGUCGGGGUCUAUGAGCGACAUGUGUGGCCCAGGAUUAUUGUGUAUCAAAAUACGCCGUAUCUGCUCCCCGGUCGAAGAAGCGUUAAUGCCUUCAUCGUUGUUGACAUUUUCAUCGUCAAUAUCAUCAGGUACAUCGUCCACAUCGGGAUCAUUGUCACUAUCGACCUAUUCAUCCCAAUGAUCGCCACCACAUUCUUCUUCGCUAGCACCUUAUUCUUCACCACCAACCAUAUCAACAUCGGGUGUAAUAUUCAGGUCGAUACCGAUUCCACCCAUAGUCGAUUCACUAUCAACGUAUGAUAUUGGAGCCACCAUCCAUGGUUCUUCAGCUCCGUCUUCUUCAUCAAAUAAGUGAUUCAGUGCAUUCUUCUCACUCUCAUUCCCACAGUAGAGAUCGACCAUUGUCUCCACGUCUUCGUCGUCUACAAGUUCCAUUUCGACGAAUUUGACCAGAUUUGUCGAAACUGGAAACUUGUAGAAAAUUUUUGAUAUCUUUCUCCCACAACGUCUAAGAAUUUUUGCAUUAAUCCCUGCCUUCAUUUCAUUGAACGAUACAUUUCUAUUAAAUCUCAUUGUUAUUUGUUACCGACAUUCAAAUACACAUCCAACACUUGUUGUCAAGAUGACUCCAUCGAAAUAAACGCAUACAAGAAACUUAGCAUCCAUCUUCAAUAUUUAAUCUGUCAAAAAAUAAACAAAAUCUCAUAAAAAUUCUCGAACGGUAAAUAAAUUAUUUAAAAAAAAAUUAAUGUUUCAAUAUGCAAUUUUGUACAUAAAAACCGUUUAACCACUAAUCCUAAUAACUAACACAAUAAUAAUAUUAAUAAUUUUAUACUCAAAAUAAUACACACUAAAAUUAUUAAUUAGGGUUUUACUAAAAAUAAUAACUAACUAACUAUAAUAAUAAUACUAGUUUUUUACUAACUAGUUUAUUUUGGUAAAUAAAAAUUAUAACUAACCAUAAUAAUAAUACUAGUUUUUUACUAACAAUAAUAGUACUAAGUUACAUCUUAAUACAUUAAUAACAUCUUAAUACUAACAACAACAACAACAACAAUAACAACAACAACAACAACUAUAAUAAUAAUAAUACUAACUAAAACUAUCAAUUUGAGUUUUAUUAAUCUUAAUAACUAAACUAAAACAAAAAAUAUUACAAAAUAUACAAACAAUAACAACAAUAUAAUCAAUUAUUUUUUAAAAAAUACCUUCUUUUUCUCUUCUCUUUCUCUCUUUUUCUCUUCUUUUUCGUAGCACCUCUUCUUCCUCUUCUUCUUCUUUUUCUUCUGAUUUUUCUCCUUUCAGCUGGACAGAGCUCGUGUUUAUAACACGAGUAGUGCCGCCAAUCAGUAUGGCACCAUUGGUGCCGCCAAUGGCUUUGGCACAUUUGUUGCCGCCAAUCACCUUGGCCUGACCAGGGUGUUGUCAAUUCGGUGCAGGCUUUUUGCAGUUUUUUUUUUCCUGUUUUUUGUUUUUUUUGGUAUAUUUUGGUAAAUAAAAAAAUUUAUAAUAUUUUGGUAAAUAAAAAACUUAUAAUAUUUUGGUUUUUUUUAUUUUUUAUAAUAAUUUUGUAAAAAACUCAUAGUGGCAAAAAAGAAUUAGGGAUAGUAAAUCAUGUCAAAUUUCAAAAUUUUUUGAAUUUCAAGGGCAUAACUGCAAAACUGCCCAUUAAACUUUGUAUAAUAUACAUAUUAUAAAAUAAAAGGAUGAGAAUUUUUUUCCUUUAAAAAAACCAAGGAAAAAAAAGUGUAGUACUAACAUUUUUUUUCCCUUAAAAAGAAAAAAAAAAGAAAAAAUAGCUUUCACAAUUAUUAUUUUUAUUGUUUGAUAUUUUCUCUGUGCAAAACCAGAGAAAUUGAUGAGAAGAAGAAGAAAAAGAAAAAGAUGGCAUGCAAGUGUGGAGGCUACUACUACACUUUGAACGCAAAGGCGAGCUUCGAUCGCGACUUAGCGAAAACGCGAAAGUUUCUUCUCCGAAACGUUUCAGUGAUCCGCAUGUUCACGAGCGGAUUCUUCCGCGGUAAAUGGCGAUCCAUUGCUGGUAAACGUCGCAUCUUGAGGUCGGUGACUGAUAUUUUUCGUUUUAUUUUAUGAUUUCUAACUUUUUCCUGUUUGAUUACCGAGAAAAUUGUACAAAAUGAAAAUUUCGAUAUCCGUGCUCUUUUUUCUUUUUUUUCUUCUUUUUGCUUGAAUGUAAUUAGUCUUAAUAACCGAAGAGCUGAUUGGAAGCGUUUAUUUUAGGAGAAAAUUUGGGUUUGUCGUAUCUUAGAGCUGUACAUUGCAGUUAAUGUUUCGUUGGCGAUAAAAAUAAGAGAGCAAGGAAAAUUGUUGAAUUGAUAAAAAGCGGAAUCUGUUUUUGUUAGAGCUGAAAAAUUAAAUUAAGUGACGAUUUUUUAGUUUAUCUAAUUCAGAAGAGAGAAAUCGUAACCAUUCAGCUCUGACAAGAAAAAGAAAGAAGAAAACACUUGUAAAUUGUAAAGCUAUAUUAUCAAUUUUCGAAUUUAGAUAUGAAGCCAAUUGACGAUUAGGAGGAUUUGUUCCGUUUUGAUCAGAUUUUAAGGCAAUGUAACGGGAAAAAAGAUGAAAAUGAUUUCGUGGAGUCACUUCGAGUAGUUAGUAAACUGUUUUCUUUAAAAACAAAGCUCAUGUUUCUGGUUUUUACUGAAAUGGAAUUAUCUUAGUAUGGUGAAGUAAGCAUGUGGUUUUGUUGUGGCUCAAAGUGUUUCUAAGUUCUAUGAUACUUCUUCUUCUUAUUCCUUUUAAUUUCAUUGGAAGAGAUUGAUUCUGUUCAAACAAGUUACUGCUUAGGUUGCUUGGAUUGCAGUGAUGGGAUAUUACUUGGCAAACUUAACAAAAUUUAAAAUUUUAUGGUUUUCUUUUUAGCUGAAUUAUAUACCUUGCUCUGAUGUAGAAGUACUGAUUUCUUGCAGCAUGGAUGCUCGAGAGAAAUCGAGAUCCACGAUACUGGAAUCAUCGAAAGAUAAGAGGGUGCCUAUUUUUGUAAUGAUGCCUGUGGAUAUAUUCACUCUUGAUGCCUCUGGGUGUCCAAGAAUUAGAAAGUAAGGUUUAGGCAUUUCAUCUGCUCGAUUAUCAAUAUAUUGUAUGGUUCAGCUUUUCUAAAAGGGAGGUAGACUCAAUGUCUGCCUCAUACUUUCCGCUAUAAGGAGAAUAUAACCACCUUGUCCUAAUUAACAUUCUCAUUUAUAGGAUUUUUGUUUUUGAUAUCUUAAAUUUUGGAUAUUAUGCCUUGUUUUGCUUUCCAAAAUAAAACGGUUUUUGAUUUGGUCUUUGUUGUUUCAGGCUCAAGGCCUUAACUGUAUCUCUAAAAGCACUCAAGUUGGCAGGUGUUCAUGGAAUUGGAGUUGAAGUCUGGUGGGGAAUAGUGGAGCGUUUCUCACCUUUUGACUACGAUUGGUCUCUGUAUGAAGAGCUGUUUAAAUUGAUUUCUGAUUCAGGGCUGAAGUUGCAUGUUGCUUUGUCUUUUCACUCAAAUAUUCACUCAACUCAUGGAAAAGGGGGUGUGAGUCUACCACUGUGGAUUUUGGAGGUUUGCCAUUUACUUGUUAUCUUCUAAUGGAAUUGUCACAGAGUAAGAAUUGCACUGUCAAUUUACUAAGGUUUUAUUUCGGUGCAACACAUUAGACUGGUAGGGUUCUUGCCAUCCUAUCUGUUGAGUGAUUUAAUAAAUUCAGAUGGCAAAACUUACAUUUUUUACUCAACCAUCAGUUCCAUUUGCUAGGUGAUCUACUUUUGUUAUCCUGUAAGUGAGACUGCAUUCUAUCUUCCAAUAUGUCUUAAGCUACUUCAUUGAAAAGCUUAUGAGAUAGGAAAUUCACUAAGAGCACGUUAUUUAUAAAUUAUAUUAUCAUACUGCUAGCUAAUAUAUUUUUUUCCCUUUUGCUGUCAGAUUGGUGAUGUAAAUAAAGAUAUAUACUAUAGAGAUCAACAGGGGUUCUCCAACAAUGAUUAUCUCACACUAGGGGUGGAUCAUGUUCCUCUGUUAUCUGGGCGGACUGCCCUCCAGUGUUAUGAAGAUUUCAUGCUUAGUUUUGUUAACAAAUUUGAAUCCUUUAUUGGAACUGUAAUUGAAGAAAUAAGCAUCGGUCUUGGUCCUUCUGGAGAACUUAGGUACUUUAUGGUUCUUAUGUUAUUCUUUUCCUUUUUUUUUUUGUUCAGUCUAUGAAGUUAUUGUUGAAACAUGAUUAUGAAGUCAUUGCAUGAUUGUCUUAGUGCAGGUAUCCUGCUCAUCCUUUUGGUGAUGGUAGAUGGAAAUUCCCUGGCAUCGGUGAAUUCCAGUGUUAUGAUAAGUACAUGUAGGCAUAAACUGUUUCCAUCCUAAUACAAGCUCAGGUGUUUCAUUAUUCUCAAGAUAGUUUUGCUUGCAGGAUGGAGGACUUAAAGAUGGCUGCAUGCCGAGAAGGAAAACCUCAAUGGGGGGACAAAGGGCCACAGAAUGCUGGCUGUUACAACAGUCUUCCAUCUGGGGUGCCCUUCUUUGAAGAGGGAAAGGAGAGCUUUCUAUCUGAUUAUGGCCGUUUCUUCCUGGUACUAUGCUUUAUCUGUAAUAUAUUCGUACCAGAUUUAUGUCUGUACAUUGUGCAGAUUAAUAUUCUACAACAUUCAGGCACCAAUAUAAUAUGUACUGCUACCAUGCAUUAACUUAUAGUAUUCAAACCGUCCAUUUGAAUUUAAUCCAUUGACCAGAUAUCUGCAAUAUAGAAGAGUGGUGCUGAAUUUACUGACUGUCAUAUUGAGAGGUUAUUUAUGAUCAUUGCAACAUUUUUAUUUUCUAAGUUACUCGUCUACUAAAAUGGUAAUAUAUGGGGUAGAGCUCCUUUUGGCUGGGGCUCAUAGUGAUAUACAAAUAGGUAUGUAUUUAUUGGGGAAAGUGCGUGAUAACAUCAUGUUUUCAGAAAUCCAAUAUGCAAUCUCCAGCCUCAGAUUAAACAUGAUUAUGGAAACAAACUUAGCAUUUAAAAACCAUACUUGGGAAUGAUCUUUUGCAGGAAUGGUACAGUGGUAGGCUGAUUUGUCAUGCAGAUGCCAUUCUUGCAAAGGCAGCAAAGAUAUUGAAAAAAUACCAAGAAAAUGAGCAAACUUCUGUUAUGUUGGUGGCUAAAAUUGGUGGAAUUUAUUGGUGGUACCAGACUCUAUCACACCCUGCUGAACUUACUGCUGGUUACUACAACACUGCUCUGAGAGAUGGUUAUGAUCCAGUUGUCUCAGUGUUGUCUCGACAUGGAGCUGCUUUGCAUAUUCCGUGAGAAUUUUAUCUUUAUCUAGUUCUUUUUUUAUUUUUUUCAUUUUCUUCUUUACCCAGAUGGAUUUCUGUUUGUUUGGGUUUCCUCUUCAAAAACUUUCUGCACAAUGCAUUAUUCAUUUAAUGACUGAAAAUAGUUUUGGUGCAAUAUUUGGGGUGAACUUAUACUUGCUCACAGAUUACAGUGGAAUGAUUGACAUACAAGGCUGUGAAUCUCAUAUCCACCUUUGAGUCUCCGUAAUGAAACUAAUUUUUGUAGAAACUUUGGAACCAAUAUGUUUCUAUCAUUUUGCAGAUGUACCAAAUCUUGAGGUUAAAGCUUACAAGAUGCAAUCUAGAUGUUAGGGAAUAGCAAGCAUCAACAAUUGAAGUUUUUUUUUUUUUUCUGUUCUUUGCUUCUUCAUUGUGCCCCUCCUCCUCGUCCUCCUCUCUGUUAUCUAAGUUUGAUCAUGUAUAUUGGUUGUAGAUAUUUAUCCAUUUCCAUCCUGCAUUUUCAUUUCUUCAACUUACCUUGCAGCUGCUUAGAGAUGAUGGACAGUGAAACCCCACCAACCUAUCUUUGCAGUCCUGAAGGAUUACUGAAACAGGCAUGAGUUCUUUUUUAUUGACAAUUUUCUUUUCUUCUUUGACCAAGAAAUAUGUGAUUUUAGUCAUUGCCAUUUUAGCUGCUUAAAUCUACAAAUGGUACUGUUCCAUGACUUGAAUUUAUCUUGUAAUUGAUUAAAGAAGUUUAUGUAGUAACAUGUUUUGACAUUCCCUUCAUGCCUAUUGCAGUGGGUAUUAUAAUUUGGUGUAGACCUGUCAAUAUUCCUGAUGUGUUUAUGUAUUUUGUUAUGUCAUAUUCAUUUUUAAGCUGUUUUAUAUUUAUAUAAAUUUUGACAUAUAGAUUUUAACACAUUCUUAGUAAAGUUCAUGUUAUUUUUCAUGUAGAGUGUUUUUUUGUCAAACUUAAUUAUUUCCAGUGGCAUGUUGGAUAUUGACAAGACUUAUUUGAUGCUAUUUUUUAGUUACUGUUUCGCUGAAAUAUGUUUACAAGUGUAGCCUCUCACCUUAUGCCCCUUGAAAAAGAAAAGAGAAAAGAUUAUCUUGUUCCAUCUCCAUGAUUUUGUGACGAGUGAACCUGAAUCUGUGUAAAUUUUAGGGCUUAAUGGGCUAAUACUUAAGGCCUAAUCCCUUUCCAGACAUCAAGAAACAGUUCUGUUUUCACCUUCUAUGACAUAUAUAGAGAAAACAUCUGGUUGCAUGUUAUAAGGAAGUUUAAAUGAAGUUGGUAAAACUGUAUUACUAUUAUAUAUGAUUUAACAGCUAAAGAGUGUCAAUACCAGAUGCAACUUGUCUCAUUAGUCAUUCCUAUGCUUCUCUUGUGCCAAAACCUAAUUUCUUUGACCUUCUGACUUUCAAUGCAGAUGCAGUCUGUUUCAAAGAAAAGGAUCGUUAACUUGAUUGGAAGAAAUACAACCGAACGACUUGACAAAGUAAAUAUCAUUCUAUCUUAACACAAUAUUGUCUACCCUUCAGCUUAAUAAUAAGAUUUAAUUGUUUUUUUGGCAAUGAUUAAUAUGGUACUCGUGAUGGCUUUUAACUCUCAGGUUCACAAUUAGUUUAGUACUUGUCCUUUCCCGGUUCCUUUGAACUUUCUGUUGCCGGUAUUUUCUUUACUAGAAUGACUCAUAUUUUCUCUUUCGUUCUCUUUCAAACUCUCGCAGACUGGACUAUGGAAAAUUCGUUCAAACUGUUACAAUCCCCAAGCAGAAGUUGUAAGAUCAUUUACUUAUUUCAGAAUGAAUGAUAGUAUAUUUAGGGUUGAAAAUUGGAAUAACUUUGUACCUUUUGUCAGAAUGAUGAGCACCGAUUUGUAAUAUACAGUUUCAACUGUCUACCACUUUACUAAGCUCAUUAAGAUAACCCUGCCCCUAUAUUUUUUUUACCUGACUGGGGGAUGGGGAAAUUGCAGAAGCUUUUCUGGUCUUGUCUUAUAUCUGGUUAUACAUCCUUUCCUCAUUCAUUUCCAGCAUUGAUAUUUUUAGAUGUUGGAAAAUAAAUCCAAAAAGUAUCAAAAGGUUCACCAAAAUUUAAGGAAGAUGUUGGUUUUGCCACAGUGCUUGAUGCUAGUAUAACUUUGUGGAGCUUCUUCUCCAGAAGGUGUGAAAAAUGAUCAUUGAGAAUCAUAUCCUUCUGAUUUUCAAUCCCAGUUCUUCCACUCAGCAUCUAAUAGCUUUCAUGUUUUAUGACCUGGUUGAAAGUUAAAUUAUUAACACAUGGAAACUCAUAGAUUCAUUUUUGAAGUGGUUGAUGGACAUGGUAUUCAGUACUUAGCUUAUUUUAGGGGAGAGAUUCUAUCAAAUAGCAAUGUUUCAUUAAGUUUUUUGCUUCUCUUCUACUCUUCAAUGUUCGUAGGCCACGUUGUACUAAAGGCACUUUGUUUAUUUUGCUAUUAGUCUUUCUAUAUUGUGGUUAAUAUGAAAAUACCAAAAUGUUGUAUUUCUGUAGCGUGUUCCAAUUCUUCAUUUUUCUUGAAAUACUUGUAUCAAACACAUAUGAACCAGGCCUUUGGCAAAUAAAUUGGAGGCAACUGUGACUUGCAUGUACUUCUCAUCAUCGUGAUUUGUUGUGAUGUAGCAUAUAGUUGUUAGAGAUUGUUAUCAAUGUUGGAACCCUAUGUGUCAACAAUAUGCAACCGUGCAGUGAUCAAUCCACACAUCCCUUGAGCCAAAUAUUGAGAUCCUAUCCCUAUCAGGACAACAGCUUAUUGCAUAUUGGGGGAUGACUGAUCCCACACUAUGUCAGAUCCUGAAGGUAAGCAAUAAUGGAUAUAGAUGUUAUGUAUGAUUAAAUAUUCACAUUAUCUAAGGUUGUGCAUGAUCUGCCUGUUAUUUGGAUAAUGUAUCCUCUCCUGUCGAUGUCUAUGUUGGUUCGGAGUUGUCUUACUUACUCUUCCUUUGGUAGGAAAGAAAGAAACGGGUGAGAAAACAAUUUAAUCUAAUGGUUGAACUACAUUAAUGUGCUAUUUUGUAGCUCAACUAUUAGAUUAAAACAUUUUCGUUCUUUAUCUGACUUUUCUUCAUCCUACCAAUUGAAGCUUUAGGCUUACAACUUUAUGAUGAUCAAAGAUGAUCCUUAGAUGUUUGUUGAGAAGAAGAAGAGGUUGGAAGCUUGAGUGACAGUUCAAACGGUGGUAUGCAGACAUCCGUAAGAGAGAGGUUUACAAGUGUCAAGACCCCAGGUUAAGAAAGGGGGAGAAGAAUAAUGCUUCUCCUUCUACCUUUCUAAUUAACCAGAGACACUCAUAAACCUCCCUCUUACGGCUCUUUGCACACUACUGUGUGAACUGCCUAAACCUUCAACCUCUUCUCGACAAUUUUCUUUAGUGGCUGCAUGACAUAGUGUUCCUAGAGUUGGACGUAACUGGAUCAUCAUUAUAGUAUCUACAUAAACUUCACCGUCUGGACCCCCGUAGGUAUUUUUUCCCCGAGCCCAAUUGUAUAAUCAGCCAGCCUUUUCCGAUCGUCAUUCCAUUCAGGGUCACGCCUAUAGUGUAACCAGAUCUUUAUAUGCCAUAGCAUAGCAUAGAAACCUGGGAAUUGAAUGGUUCUGUGAGAGUAAUUUUUGGCGUGAAAUUUCCAUUUUGUGUAAAGCUUUUACUGAUCCCAGUUUUAUUUUAAUUGGUUCGUGUCAGUCAGUCGGGGGAUUCUUUUUUUAUUUCAUUAUCCAGGCUUGGGUUGAACUGGUCUAGGCAAAGCCUGUUUCACUAUUCAAACGAAUAUUAAAAAUUAUUAUUUUUAUCUAUUUUAUUAAUACAAAUUUAAACUGAAUAUAUUCAGUUUUACUUUAUUAAUUGUUUAAUAAUAAACCCUUGAUUCUAAAAACCGAGAUUGUCAUAAGGCGUUUAUGGAUAUUUCUUAAUCUCUCGGAACUAGCAGAAUAAAUAAAUGAGAUGUUUCUAUUAUCAUUUUCAAGCGAUUGAAAAAUAAAGAAAAGAAAACAGAAUAUUCAAAAUGAUUGCAUCACAUUAUGGGUAAACUGUAAAAGGAGUUAUUUUUGUUUGUCUCAAAUUACGUUUUAGUUAUUUAUGUUUGAAAUAUUACGUUCCAGUUAUUUACGUUAUCGUUUUGUUACGAAGUGGACAUUUUAACGUUAAGCUUCGUUACUUCCCUAACAGUGGACUUGCGUGGUGGUUUAAAUGAGUUUUAAAUGCUAACUUGGAUGUGUUAUGUGGUAGUUUAAAUUAAAAUUUAUUUAAUUAAAAACUUGUUUUCAUUCCAACAACUAGAAAUUUAAGUUGGCAUUUAAAACUUAUUUGGAUUGUCAUGUAGAAUUAUUAUGAGGGAGGUAAUGGAAUUUAAUGGUAGAGUGACAUUUCGUAACAAAACGAUAACGCAAGUGACUAAAAUGUAACAUUUCAAACAUAAAUGAUAAAAAUAUAAUUUGAGGCAAACAAAAAUGACUAUUUUUAUAGUUUACCCUAACAUUAUUUCAUCUAAUUUUAUCGUAUGUCACUAUGAAAAUGAACUUCUUUCUUGCAAAAAGAGAAGUUUUUUUAUUUCAUCUGUUCCAUUACUUGAAUUUGACACACCUUACAUCACUAUUUUACUAAUUUUUCAAGGGCUAAAAAUCUCAUUUACUUAAUUUAAAAUUUUUGGAUACCUAUUAAGCAUAUAUAACAGUAUUUGGUCUCGCUUAUAGGAUUUAAAAACUACUAAUAGUGUAUCAGGACACAAUUUACCCUUUCUUUUUCCAACAUGAUUCCUUGAAAAAAAAGCAAACAGUACAAUCGAGCAGGCCUGGAAGGAACCCGGAUAAAAAAACAUAAGAAAGGGGUUCAAAAAAGUCGGCGCCAAGAUCGAAGAGGUGAGCGAAAGAGUGACCAAAGUGUUCGAGGGCCAAAGCAUAUGCACCAUCAACAGCACGCGUGCUUCCAUCAAAGAGGCCAUGUUGAUAGCAAUGCUCAAACCAUGGAAGCCGGCUAGAACCACUAAAAGAUUCAGAGUGUUCUAGCUCUAUGUAGUAGGAGAGACAUAAGGGACUCGACAAAUAUUUAUAUGGAAGCCGGCAUAGAGUCUCACGUGUAUAAUUACAUCAAAUUAAUAUUUAUGUAUACAAUUGUACAUUAAAUUAAAAUUUAUGUAUAAUUUGGAACUUAUCCCUACUUUAAUUUUUUAAUUUAAGCCAAACUCAUCCUUGAAGUUCAAAAUUUUAAAUUCUUGAUUAGCAUUGACAUUGAAGUCUUAAAGACUAAGAGAAACAUGGUUGUUUUUUGUUUUAUUGGUAUAAAUGAAGUCUAGUACUCCAAAUCCAGAUUUAUUUAAAACAAUUUAUUGAAUAUCACAUUUUAAGGGUGACAGUUUUAACUAAUUAAAUCAAAUUUUAAAUUCAAAUUCAACUUUGAAAAAACUAAAAACUUAAGCAAAACAAAACAAAACCAAACCAAACCAAAGUUAAAUUAAUCUUAAUUCUUAAGUAUGUUUUUUCAACUUUGUAUUUUAUUAAAUUUAAUGUUUUUUCAACUUUGUAUUUUAUUAAAUUUAAAUGUGACUGAAUUAUAAAUUUUAACAUAUAAAUUUUAACUUAAGGAUGUGGGUUUAAGCAUAUUGAAGCGCGUUUAUUCCCCAAUUUAAGGGUUGUGAUAGGCUAUAGGUAAUUUUUACUUUCACAAUUAAAUUAGAUUUUUUAAAAAAAAUCUAUAACUCUUUCUUAUAAUUAUUUUUUUGUAAACUAAAAAUAUGAAAAAAGACCAAGCAAAAGUUAAAUAAGUCAUGAUCAUCUCUAUCCAACUUUGUACAUUAAUUAAUUAAAAUGUAGAUGAAAUUAAAGAUUUGUCAACAUGCAGCUGCAACUGUAACUCAUAAUCAUCUUUAUUCAAUCUUAUACUUUAACGAGUUAAAAUGUAAAUGAAACUAUACAUUUUUCAAUGCAUUAUUUGAAUUUUAUUACAUAAAAGUAUUAGGUAACCUUCAGCGUAUUGAGGUUUGAAUUAGAGGCGAAUCGGGGAGAUGGCAGUCCCUUAAAAUGGAAAAAGAAUUCAUUUAAACUCUUUUAUAAUUUAUAAAAUUUUAAAUUAGUAUUAAUAAAAUUACACUUUGGUCCUCCUAAAAGUAAUAAAAAUUUAAUUUAAAUUUUUAAAAAUUAUAAAGAUAUAAACUAUUAAAAUAAUAAAAUUAUAUUUUUACUAUAAUAAAAAUAUACAAUUUAAUUCUGAACCCAAAAUUUUUUUACUUUGCCCCUAUAUAAAUCCUUUUUUAACGAAAAAAAAUAUAAAUUAGAAAAUUGACAAAAUCAAAUCAAGGUUAAAUCAUAAUUCAUAAUUGUCUCUUUCCUACCUUAUAACAUAAUGAGUUAAAAAUAUAAACGAAGUUAUAAAUUUUCAAAGACAUAUUCUUUAAUUUAUGGUUAAUAUUACUUAGUGUAAAUUUGGAUAGGCGGUGCGAUGCAUUUAAUUUACUUUUUAUCUCACGUUACAGUAUCACAACAAUAUCUAAUCUCACCUCCACCGCUGAUUUUACAGUAAAUGUAUCGUCCAUCCAAACUCACCUUUAAACUAGUUAGGAGGCAUAAAAAAUAUUUGAAAACACAAUCGAAAUAUAAAAGAAACUAGGAGGCAUGAAAAGAUAUAUUUCAUUUUAAAUAAAUUAAAAAAAAAUUCAAACUCCUAAAAACUUAUGCAUUUUGUUAUCAUUUUCGAUUGGAUGAUCCAUUAAUUCAGGUGGCGGAAGAUUAUAAAUGGGUAAUUUUUUAUUGGAGAUUGGGAAUAGAUGGACUUUCUGUAGGACCAUUUACUGGCAGGAUUUAUCACCAUUUUAGCGACUUUGGUGGCUUGGUCAAUUACUCAAGAUUAGCAAUUAUUCAUUUCCUGAUGCCAGCAAUGUAUAGUGGUCAAAUAGGGUCAUUUUCUUCUCGAGAUCUUUUACUUUUUUUUUUCAUCAUGUGGGAAUUCGAAUUAAUUCUCGUUUAUCUACUUCUAUCCAUGGGGGGGAGAAACGUUUGUACUCGACUACAAAAUUUAUUUUAUACAUUACAGGUGGUUUCAUUUUUCUAUUAAUAGGAGUAUUGGGUCUCAGUUUAUACGGUUCUAAUGAGCCAACAUUAAAUUUUGAAACACUAACCAAUCAAUCAUAUCCUAUCGCACUGGAAAUAAUAUUCUAUAUUAGAUUUCUUAUUGCUUUUGCUAUCAAAUCACCGAUUAUACCCUUACAUAUGUGGUUACUGCAUACCCAUGGAGAGGCCCAUUACAAUACUUGUAUGCUUCUAGUUGGAAUUUUCUUAAAAAUGGGAGCAUAUGGAUUAAUUCGAUAAAUAUGGAAUUAUGAUCUCAUGUGCAUUCCAUAUUUUUUCCCUGGUUGAUAAUAGUUGGUACAAUGUAAAUAAUUUGAAGCGUAGAAAACCAAACAAAAGUUAAAUCUUAACUCUUAAGCAUCUCUUUCUAAUCUUAAAAAUGUGUAGUUCGAGUUUUAGCAUGCGUAAGUUUUUCUUAUCUUAAAUUUAUGACUUCUUUAUUGAGAUUUAUUUUAGUAAACUAAAAAUUUAGACGUAACAAAGUAGAGGUAAAUAUUAACUCUUAAACGAUUCUUUCUAAUCUUACACCAUGAUGAGUUAAAAUAUAAAUGAAAUUAUAGAUUUUUAAGGCAUGUUCUUUAGAUUUUACCGUUAAUGUUUCCUUAUACGAGAGUGGUCAAUUGGAUUCUCUUGUAUUACUUUAUUUUGUCUGAACUUAGAAACAGGUUAGCCGGCUAAUUGGUCUUGGAAUUUAGAUAUUAAAAUUUAAGUUUGAUCUAUAUUUUGAACGAAUCUAAUUUAUUAAUCAAAUUCUCUAAAUAUCGAAUGAACCUUUAGAUUUAAGCAAAUAUUUAGAAUUUAAGUAGGAUCGACCUUCAUAAGAGUGCAAUCUCAACCUUAAAACAUAAUUAUAAUUGUAUCAAUUAAGAGUUUAACUUUUUAAUUUGAGCCAAAUCCACCCUUGAUAUUGAAGUCUUAAAGACUAAGAGAAACAUUAUUGUUUUUUGUUUUAUUGGUAUAAAUGAAGUCUGGUGAUCCAAAUCCAAAUUUAUUUAAUACAAUUUAUUGAAUACCACAUUUUAAGGGUGACAGUUUCAUUAACUUUUAAAUUCAAAUUCAACUUUGAAUAAACUAAAAACUUAGCCAAACUUAAAUUAAUCUUAAUUCUUAAGUAUCUUUUUUUCAACUUUGUAUUUUAUUAAAUUUAAAUGUGAAUGAAAUUAUAGAUUUUAACAUAUAAAUUUUACAAUUAGUAUCGCCUAACUUGAGAACAAUCUAGUUGGUUGAGUCUUAAUUCAAUUGGCAUUAGCACUGUUGUCAGUGCAGGAAGACGUGGGUUCAAGCGUGUUUAUCCUCCAAUUUAAGGGUUGGAAUGGGUUUUGGGCAGUUCUAAACAUUGUAACAACUUAGAAACUUUCAGAUACUUUCAACCUUCAACAUAAUUAUAAUUGUAUCAAUUAGGGAUAAAUCUCAAAACUAUAUAUACAUGAACUAUGGUUUAAUGUGCAAUUAUAUACAAGAAUUUUGAUUUGAUCCAAUUAAUUAUAUUUAUCUAAUAUAAAAAUAAAUUGAUGUAUUUAUCUCUUUAAAUGUGUAUGAUUAAAUCAAAAUUAAAGUUUCAAAUAUACAUUUGAACCACAAUUAGAGUUUCACGCGUACAAUUACAUUUAAUUUGAGCCAAAUCCACCCUUGAAGUUCAAUUAAAUUCUUGAUUAAAGCAUUAAAGACUAAGAGGAACAUUAUUGUUUUUUGUUUUAUUGGUAUAAAUGAAGUGUAGUUUCCAAAUCCAAAUUUAUUUAAUACAGUUUAUUGAAUAUCACAUUUUAAGGGUGACAGUUUCAACUAAUUAAAUCAAAUUUCAAUUUCAAAUUCAACUUUGAAUAAACUAAAAACUUAGCAAAACCAAACCAAAUCAAACCAAACCAAAAUUAAAUUAAUCUUAAUUCUUAACCAUCUUUUUUCAACUUUUUAUUUUAUUAAAUUUAAAUGUGAAUGAAAUUAUAGAUUUUAACGUAUAAAUUUUACAAUUAAUAUAAUCUAACUUGAGAAUGAUGAAUUAAGUAUCAAUAUAUCUAGUCGAUUGAGUCUUAACUUGGUUGGCCAGUGCAGAAGGACAUAGGUUCUAGCAUGCUGAAGCGCAUUUACUCUCUAAUUUAAGGGUUGAGAUGGAUUAUAAGCAGUUUUUCAGAUACUUUCACAAUUGAAUUAGAUUUUUUUUUAAAAAAAGAUCAAUAUAUCUAUAAUUCAAUUUUAAUAUCUAUAACUCUUUCUUAUAAUUUUUUUUAUAAACUAAAAAUAUGAAAAAAACCAAGCAAAGGUUAAAUAACUCAUCAUCAUUUCUAUCCAACUUUGUACAUUAAUUAAUUAAAAUGUAGAUGAAAUUAUACAUUUUUCAAUACAUUAUUUGAAUUUUAUUACAUAAAAGUAUUACGUGCCCUUCAGCAUAUUGAGGUUUGAAUACGGAGGUGAUUCUAAAAAUAAUAAUAAUUUAAUUUAAUUCUUUAAAAAUUAUAAAAAUAUAAACUAUUAAAAUAAUAAAAUUACGUUUUUACUAUAAUAAAAAUAUAUAAUUUAAUUUUUGUCCCAAAAUUUUUUUCUUACUUUGCUCAAUCCUAAUAUUUACAACUUUUUUUUAUCAUAACAUUUUUUAACGAAAUAUAUAUACGAUUAGAAUAUGAUGUAUUUUACUUUGAAUAAAUUAGAAAUUUGAUAAAAUCAAAUGAAGGUUAAAUCAUAAUGAUUUAAUUAAUAAUUGUCUCUUUCCUACCUUAUAACAUAAUGAGUUAAAAAUAUAAAAGAAGUUCAAUGCAUAUUUUUUAAUUUACGGUGUGGUGCGUUUAGUCUUUUUUUUUACGUUAUAGUAUUUAAUCUCAUUGUUAUCACUAUUUUUAUACUAAUUGUAGGUAAACGCGUCGCUCAUCCAACCCCAUCCUUAAACUGGUUAGGAGGCAUAAAAAGAUAUAUGAAAAAAAAGGAGGCAUAAAAAGAUAUAUUUUAUUUUAAAUAAAUUAAAAAAUUCGAACUCCUAAAAGCCUAUGCAUUUUGUUAUAAUUUCCGAUUGGACGAUCCAUUAAUUUAGGUGGCGGAAGAUUAUAAAUAGAGAAUUUUUUAAUUGUUGAUUGGGGAUAGAUAGACUUUCUAUAGGGCCCAUUUUACUGACAAAAUUUAUCACAAUUUUAGCAACUUUGGUGGUUUGGCCAAUCACUCGAGAUUCACAGUUAUUUCAUUUCUUGAUGCCAACAAUGUACAGUGGUCAAAUAGGGUUAUUUUCUUCUCGAGAUCUUUUACUGUUUUUCGUCAUGUGGGAGUUCGGAUUAAUUCUCGUUUAUCUACUUCUAUCCAGGGGGAAGAAAUGUCUGUACUCGACUACAAAAUUUAUUUUGUACACUACAAGGGGUUCUAUUUUUCUAUUAAUAGGAGUUUUGGGUCUGGUUUAUAUGGUUCUAAUGAGCCAACAUUAAAUUUUGAAACAUUAGCUAAUCAAUCAUAUUCUAUCGCACUCGAAAUAAUAUUAUAUAUUGGAUAUCUUGUUGCUUUUCCUAUCAAAUCACCGAUUAUACCCUUACCUAUGUGGUUAUCGGAUACCCACGGAGAGGCCCAUUAUAGUACUUGUAUGCUUCUAACCGAAAUUUUAUAAAAAAUGGGAGCAUAUGGAUUAAUUCGAUCAAUAUGGAAUUAUUACCCCAUGUGCAUUCCAUAUUUUUUCCUUGGUUGAUAAUAGUGGGUACAAUGCAAAUAAUUUAAAGUGUAGCAAAACCAAACAAAAGUUAAAUCUUAACUCUUAAGCGUUUCUUUUCAAUCUUAAAAAGGUGUAGUUCGAGUUAGAGGUGUGCAUGGGCUGGGCCAGGCUAAGCUCAACUAAAAAUUUAGGCCGGUUUGCUAGGCCCGAGCUCAGCUAGAAAAAUGGGCCUAAAAUUUUGCCCAAGCCCGACUCGGAUAAAAAUGCUAAAACCCGUGCCCGACCCGUCCCGCCCAUAUUAAUUUUUAUAUUAUUUUAAAAUAUAUAUAAUACAUCAAAAAUACUAAAAACAUCAAAAUAAAUAUUUCCCAAUAAAUUGAAAAUAAAUUUUUAAAAAUAUGUAUACUUGAAUAACACUAAGAUAGAUGCAACUUAACAAGCAAAUACCUCUAAAAUAAUAACAAAAUUAAUAAAUGUCUUUAAAAUAAUAAUAAAAUUAACAAUAAAAUAAGUUUUAUACAAUAUCCACACAAUAACAACAAAAUAGUAGCAACAUAAUAGUAAAAUGGUCGCAAAAUAGGGAGAAAACAACAAGAAAAUAAUAUUAAAAAAUAAAAAAAAAAGUAAUUUUUUUGUCCUUUAAUGAAUUCGGGCCGAGCCUAGGCAAAAAAUACCUUACCCGAAACUAGGCUCGUUUUCUAAACGGGCCUUAUUUUUUUGUCUAAACCCUCCCACAUUUUGGGCGAACUUUCGGGUCGGGUCAGGUGGCCCGACCCAUGAGCAGGUCUAGUUCGAGUUUUAGCACGUGUAACUUUUCCUUACCUUAAAAUUAUAGACUUAUUUGAGUAAACUAAAAAGUUAGACUUAACCAAACUAAAGUUAAAUCUUAACUCUUAAACAAUUCUUUCUAAUCUUGCACCAUCAUUAGUUAAAAUAUAAAUGAAAUUAUAGAUUUUUAAAGCAUGUUAUUUAGAUUUUACAGUUAAUGUUUCCUUAUACGAGAGUGGUCAAUUGGAUUCUCUUGUAUUAAUUUAUUUUGUUCGGUACACUAAGUGGAUAUGUGUCAUCUAAGGAUAUGUAUCAUCUAAGGGAGAGUGGUCAAUUGGAUUCUCUUGUAUUAAUUUAUUUUGUUCGGUACACUAAGUGGAUAUGUGUCAUCUAAGGGUGAGUAAACUUAAACGAUUCUUUUUAAUCUUACACCAUGAUGAGUUAAAAUAUAAAUGAAAUUAUAGAUUUUUAACGCAUGUUCUUUAGAUUUUACCGUUAAUGUUUCCUUAUACGAGAUUGGUCAAUUGGAUUCUCUUGUAUUAAUUUAUUUUGUCCGGUAAACUAAGUGGAUAUGUGUCAUCUAAGGGUGAGCAAAAUUCGAUUUGAAAAACUCGAUAAAUAUUCAAAUUUUGAAUCAAAUAGUUCGAGUUAUUAAAGUUAAUCGAGUUAUUUGGAUCAACUCGAAUAAAAAAUAAAUUUUUCGGUUUAACUCAAAUAUGAAUUACACAAUUUAAGUUAUCCGAAAAUUCGAAUAAGAAAAAGUAAAACUACAUUGUUUUGAUAAAUGUUUUUCCAUUAAGUUAAAAAGCAAAACCAUUAUAUUGUUUAAAUAAUCUUUUAUUUUGUCUACUAGUUAAAUAAUUGGUCUAUGUAAACGCAACAUUAAGUAUAAAUAAUAGGAUUCGUUAACUCGACUCGAUUUGACUUGAAAUUUUUAACUCAAUUUGAAAAAAAUUCAAAUUGAGUUCGAUUGUUAAAAAAAGAUUCGUCAACUUAACUGACUCGAAAUUUUUUGACUUAAUUCGACUCGACUCGAUCGAAUGCUCACCUCUACUGUCAUCAAGUCAUUCUUUCAAUAUCAUUUGUGGAUUCUAAACGCUAUGCUAAGUACACUAAGUAAUUUAUUGAGGACUAAAGUUGUAAUAAUCAUUAAAAAAUAAUGUAAGAAAUUCUAACCAUUAUAUAUAGAAAAUUAAAUAUAUGUAAUGUUACGUUUAAAUGUAUCAAAAUAAAUCUUAUUAUUAAUGAAGUUAUAUUUUAUGCAUUAUUUUAUGAGGGCUUUUUGGGUCUCGAUUAAUAUGAAACGAUGGUUAAAUUCUUGUCAAGCAUUCAUUUAGUACGGGUUAAAAUCAUGUUACGCCCAUCCUCUACUCCCUAUAUAGUCUAAAAGACAUGUAUUAAUUGAUAUUUUAUUAAAUUUACUAUUUUUUUUGAAAAAAAUUGUAAGCAUUUUUUUAUUAAAUUACAGUUAAAUCUUAACUAGUAAGCAUUUAUUUUUCUAAUCUUAGACCACAGUGAGUUAAAAUGUAAAAGAAGUUGUAGAUUUUUUAAUGUAGAUUUUUAUGAUUUUAUAGUUAACAUUGCGUAAUUUAAGAAUGGUUGAAUAGAUGAACAUUCAAAAGGCAGAGUUCGAGUUUUAGCAUACAUAACUCUUCUUUAUUAAGACUCCGACUUUUUAUUGAAACCUAUUUGAAGGCGUAACUAAACUAAGGUUAAAUCCUAACUCAGUAAACGGUUUUUUUCUAGUCUUAUACCAUAAUGGGUUAAAAACAAAUGAAAUUAUAGGUUUUAAAUGCAUUUUCUUUAAAUUUUAUAGUUAUCAUUGCCUUAUACGAGAGUGGUGAGUUAGAUUGUCUUGUAUUACUUUAUAUUGCCCAAUACGUUAACUGGAUACAUAUCAUCACGUUAUCCUAUCAACCAUGGACGAAUUUAAGGGGUCACACAAGAGCCUUGCCCCUCUCCUAGAAAAAGGAAAAAUAACCUUGCGGCUCCUUUAUAAAAAAAAUAUAAUAAAUUUGCACUUUGGCGGUUAGCGCACCUAAUUAGUAUUUGUUUGUCCUUUGAAUGGAAUCGAUAGGGCACCUAAUCAGUGAUGUAGUUGAUCAUGGGAAUUGGACGCCUUUAUUUCUAUUUAGGAGAGGGUCGAUUUUGUCCCAUUUAUUUUUUGUCGAUGAUCUUAUGCUUUACUACGAGGCUGAUAUGGGUCAAGUGGUGCUUCUUAAUGAUAUUCUUAAUAGGUUCUAUCACUUUUUGGGUCAAAAAGUGAAUAAAUGCAAGUCUUAGAUUUUUUCCUCUCCUAAUAUACUGGACGAGUUAGCUGAUGCUAUUUGUAAUCUUGUGGGGUUUGUUCGUGUGAUUGAUCUCGGUAUUUAUCUGGGGUUACCAUUGAUGCAUAACAGAGUUAUGUCGAGUACUUUUGACUUUAUGGUUGAUAAAGUCCGUAAUAAACUAUCUGGUUGGGAUGUGAGGAACCUUUCUUUGGAAGGCAGAAUAACGUUGGCCAAGUCGGUGCUCUUAGCUAUACCAAAUUAUUUUAUGUGUACGGUUUGCAUUCCGGUCUCGGUGUGUAAUGAGAUUGAGAGGAUUGCCUGUAAUUUUAUUCAGGGUACUUGUAUCGAAUCAAAGAAGCUGACUUCUUUUGUCUUAGGGGCUUGUUGUCGUCCAAUAGAUAAUGGAGAUCUAGGGUUGCAAAGCCUUGCUGAUUAGAAUCAAAAUUUUCUAUUGAAGCUAGGUUUCCGGCUGCUUACCAAUAUGGAUGCCUUGUGGGUUAGGUUUUGAGGAAUAAGUAUAAUAUACACGGGGUGUUGUUGGUCUCUAUUGCUAAGAGUAAUUGUUCAUUUAUUUAGAGAUCUUUGAUGAGAGUUUGGUCUAAUGACAUCACUAAUGCAUAUUGGUCUAUUGGGGAUGGUUGGCUUGUAAACUUUUGAAAUGACGUUUGGGUUUGACGGAUUGGUCCUCCCUGAGGGUUUAUACAGGAUGAUACUUUAAAAGUAUGUGAUUUGAUAGACGUAAAUGGUUGUUGAGACUGGUCUUGUCUAUUCUCGCUAUUAUCGGUUAAUAUUGUUACACAAAUAACAUCUAUUGUGCCCCCUUCCAGUGAUACAUGUCAGGAUUGGUUAGCUUGGAAAUGGAUGGAGAGAGGCAUUCUUUCCACAAUAAAAAUUUUUAGAAAUAUGUAUCAGGGGGACAGUAUUGCGCUUGCUAAUAUUUGGAGGCUAAUUUGGAAUGCGAAAGCACCUCAGAGGUUUCAGGCUUUCAUUUGAUUGUUGUGGCAGAAUAAGUUGUUAAUGAAUGGGGAGCAAGUGAGGAAACACAUGUCUAGUGACGGUCAUUGUCCUAGAUGUGAUAAUGUGUUGGAAACUGGUCUCCAUACGAUUUAGGAGUGCCCUUUCUCGAGAUCGGUGUGGCUUGCAAUGGUGUCGAUUCAUGCUUAAAUUACGUUUUUAUCAUUGCCUCUUAAUGAAUGGUUAUUAUAGAACUUGCACGAUACACAUGGUUGUGGUAGUAUGGAUGUGGAUUGGCAAGCUCUAUUUUCCAUACUAUGUUGGUUGUUUUGGAAGAACCGCAAUCUCUUUAUUUUUUUUCUAAUUGUCAUAAUUGUGUAAAUGAUAUUAUGAAUAAUGGUUUUACUUGGGCAAGGAGUUUUGCAACGUCACUCUCAAAGAUCCUAGAACCUAAUCCUAUGGCCUCAUUGAGGCAUUGGACUCCUCUAUAGAAUGAUUGAGUUAAAUUUAAUAUUGAUGGGGCUUUGGCUUCAGGUAACACUACUGCUUCUACGGGGGGUGUUUAGGGACCUUAAUGCAAAUUGGUUGGGUGGCUAUUCAAUGAGGAUUGGCAAAGAAUCUAUCUUUAGGAUUGAAGCUCGUGCAAUGUUGGAAGGUCUGCGCAUUGCAUGGGACAUGGGGUUCAGGCAGAUUGAAUUGCGCAUUGCGUGGGACAUGGGGUUCAGGCAGAUUGAAUUGAAAUGCGAUAAUGCACUUCUGGUUGAGUUGCUUUUAGCUGGAUUGCAUGCAGAUAGUAGAUUGGUAGAGUUACGCUUAGUGCGUCAACUUCUAAGUAGGAAUUGGAAAGUAAGGAUUCAUCACAGUGUAAGAUCUCUAAAUGAAAUGGCUGAUCAUAUGGAAAAAGGUAUUGUAAGUGGCUAGCACUUCUAUAGUGGUUUGAGGAGCCAUCAUCCUCUGUGGUUAAUUUAUUGUUGGCUGAUUGUAACUCUUCAUGCAUAUUUAGUUUGAGGGUUUGAUGUAAUUGCUCUGUGCUAUCUUUUUUCUACCAAAAAAAAUCCUAUUAUUAAUGAAUUUAUAUUUUAUGCAUUAUUUUAUGAGGGUAUUUUGUGUUUGUAUUAGUAUGAAAUAAUGGUUAAAACUUUUGUCAAGCAUCCAUUUAGCAUGGGUUCAAACUAUGUUACCCCAUCCCCUAAUCCCUCUAUGGUCUAAAAAACAUGUUCUGAUUGAUAUUCUAUUGAAUUUAUUAAUCAUUUUUUAAAUUGUAAGCAUGUUUUAUUAAACUAAAGUUAAAUCUUAACUUGUAAGCAUCACAGUGAGUUAAAAGGUAAACGAAGUUGUAGAUUUUUGUAAUGCAUAUUUUUUAGAUUUUAUAAUUAACAUUGCAUGAUUUAAGAAUGAUUGGUCCGAUGAACAUUCAAAAGGCAAAGUUCGAGUUUUAGCAUGCAUAAUUCUUCUUUAUUAAUAUUGUGACUUUUUAUUGAAAUUUAUUUAAAGACGUAACCAAAUCAAGGUUAAAUCUUAACUCUAUAAACGGUUUUUUCUAUUCUUAUACCAUGAUGGGUUAAAAAAACAAAUGAAAUUAUAGGUUGUAAUUCAUUUUCUUUAAAUUUUAUUGUAAUCAUUGCCUUAUACGGAGAGUGGUGAGUUAGAUUGUCCUGUAUUACUUUAUAUUGCCCAAUACGUUAACCGGAUACAUAUCAUCACGUUAUCCUAUCAACCAGGAGCGAAUUUAAGGGGUCGCGUAACGACCUUGCGCCCCCUCCCAGAAAAAGGGAAAAUUAACCUUGUGGUCCCCUUAUAAAUAAUAAAAAUAAACAGAAAUAAUAUUAGUCUUUUAAAAAAUAAUGAAAUUAUUAAUUGAUAAAUUAAUAAAAUUACAUUUUCACAUUUCAAAAAUUUAUAAUUCAAUUCCACCCCUAAAAAAUUUCAUCAAUUCGCUUUGUUUGUGGACUCUAAACACUCCAUUAAUAACGAACUAAAUAAUUUCUUAUAAUUAUUAAAAAAAUAAUGUAAGAAAUCCUAGUAAUGAUAUGUAGAAAAUUAAAUAUAAUUAAUGUUACUGAUACAUUAUAUAUAAAUCUAUACAUUAUUAAUGCAUUAAAAUAAAUCAUAUUAUGGGAUUUUUAAUCCAGUUAAUCCUGGUUUGCUGGCUUUUGUCUAGAUUAUAACAGUUCUUAGUCCGUUUAUGUUGUAAUAAUUUGAUUCUAUUUUAUGAUUAUUCAGACUUGUAUUUAUAAUUAUAAUGGUUUAAAAAAAUCCUAUAAUUAAUGAUACUCAUUAUAAAUAUAUAAUUUGUUUUUAUAAAUUUUACAACAUACCAUUUUAAGCGGGAUAAUUAAAAUUUUGAAAAUAAUUAAGAAAUUAAUAAUACCAAAAAUAGCACUUUCCAAGGUUAUAACUACAGUAAAUGAAAAUUUGUAUCUCAUAAUUAUAAAUUAUUAUUUUAUUUAAAAAGAAAAAAGAAAAAGCGUUUUAGAGGGGCCACCACCUGUAAAUACCGGUGAGGGGGAAGGGCAGUGUCCAAUGAGAGAGUUGGUGUGACCGGCAAUAGUAAGUUCCUCGUUUAAAACGCCGGUUUGCCAAAUGGACUGUGUUGGCCACUAUAAAAAUGGUCAAAUUCCCAUUCCGAGGACACACAAACUAAGCUUUCAACACCCAAAUCCUUAAAAAUCAUGGAACGUGGUGAUGAGUUCAGUCGUUUUCCCAAGCUUGCAAAAUCAAAUUCUGGUAAAGCACCCUUCAACUAGAUAUAUUUUUUAUUUUAUUUUUAUGUUUCAUAGACAUAUAAUACCCAUUUUUUGUUUUUUUUUAAUGAAAAAUACACAAAGAUUUAUCCUCAAAAUGAUUAAGGUUUAUUGCAUGCAUCAACAGUUCUUUCCUUUUAUUUUUUUUAUUGACUUGGUUUUUUUUUUCCCCUUUUGCAUGUUGUUCAUCGCAAAUCUCCUUUCUUUCUUAUGUAUUAUAUCAAAAUUUUCCCCUUUUUAAAGUCCUUUUUUGAAAAAAAAUCAAAUUUUCACCCUUGAUUGUUUCUCGACGGGGUUUAAGCUUAAAAGCAAUAUAUUUAGACCACCUUUUUGACUUCAUCUUGAAUUUCCUCUAUGUUCAUAUAGUAACGCUUGCUUCAUUCUUCACUUUUGUCUUUUGUUUGUUUAUAUAUAUAUAUAUUUGUAUAUUAAUAAUGUUGUUGAUUGAGUUUGUGUCAUAAAUUAAUUGGAUAAAAUUAUAUUUUUUAUUAUUUAUUGUAUGUUAUUUUAAAACACAUAUUUGUGUUUUAAAUACGUGAUAUACGUAUUUAUAAAUAUUUAUUAGGUCCAUGUGGUAAAAAGUUUGAUUUCUUUGGAUUUUAGUGUUGUGGAUGAAAAAAAAAAUUAAUAACUAAUAUAAUAAUUAAAAACAAAUACACUUUUAUUUCUUUUUUUCUUUAAUUAAAAUAAACCAUUAUAAAUAUUAUAAACAAAGAAUUUUUAAAUAUGAAUUAAUUUAAGAAGUGUUUUGCUUUCAAUUGUUUUCUAGUUUAGUCUCUUUAAACACUUUUAUUUUUCAAUCAAUACUUUUUACAUCUUUUAACACAUGUGUUGAACCAAUCAUUUUAAAUAAUAUUAUUUGUAUACGGCCAAUCAAAUUGAUUGAAUUAAAAUUACGAUUUAUUUGAAUUAAGGUCGUUAAAAAAGUUGAAAAUUUAUUUGCACGGAUCUAAAAUCAAUUCAAUUAAUAAAGCAGGAAGAAAAUAUUAUUUGUUAUUUAUUUUCUUUUUCUUUUUCAUUUUUCCUUUUCAUUAUUUAGGGAAAAAGAAAAGUCAAAGCCUGUAGAGUGAGAAGGAGAAAAAGGGUUUGACUUUUAAGACUCCCAACAAAGAAUCUAAACAGUGAUAGGUGGGGCCCUUUUUAACUACCUCAUUGGGCCCCUUUCUCUAAAAGUGGGACCCAUUUAACGCCUGGAAUAAGCCACUUACGGCUUUCCACGUGUAUAUAGAAUCCCUCUGACACGGAGGUAGCAUUUACUUAUGACUUUUUAUCUUUUGGAUUUUUCUCUCUUUCUUUUGAAUGCUUUAAAGGAAGAAGAUUUUAUUAUUAUUUUAAGAGUUUUAAAUUAUUUGUGCGUUAAUGGCACUAACCAUCCUAUAAUUUUUACUUAUUUUAGGAUAAUCUUUAAAUUUUAAAUAAUUUUAGGGGUCAAAGUGCAAUUUUAUAUUUUUUUUGGCAGGUUUGGGUAUCAUUCAACAUGGUGAUUCAUCGAACUCCAUUAACAACGUUAACAACAUCUUCAACGUCACCGACAAUGUCAGCAACGCCGGUAACAUCUCCAACACCAGCAACACCAAUGCCGUCAGCACCAUGCCUCCACCGGGCCCGGUGUUGCGCGAACAGGAUCAGUACAUGCCAAUAGCCAACGUGAUCCGCAUCAUGCGCCGCAUCCUACCACCCCAUGCCAAAAUCUCAGACGAAGCCAAAGAAACCAUCCAAGAAUGCGUUUCGGAGUUCAUCAGUUUCAUCACCGGGGAAGCCAACGAACGCUGCCAAAGCGAGCAACGCAAGACCGUCACCGCCGAGGACAUCCUCUGUGCCAUGGGAAAACUAGGCUUCGACGACUACAUCGAGCCCCUCACCGUUUACUUGACCCGGUACAGGCAAUCCGAGAACGAGAGGACUUCACUGCGCGGGGACACCUUUUUGAAGCGCGGGAAUGCCUAUGGCCCAAUGAUCAUUCCCCCUCACGGCGUCGAGCCUUUCAAUGCGGGGUUUCAGGAAGGGAUGACGGAUGCCACCUCCGCCGCCGCCCGAGCCAUCAUGGGUGGAUACAACCAUGGUGCUCAUCCAGGUGGUGCCGCUGGAUCAUCAUCGCAGCAGGCUCCUUUCGAUAACAACUUGGAUCCAUUUGUUGAGUUCAAAUGAGAAAAUAUGGAUUAAAACAGGGAAAAGCAAAUUUAAUUUGAAUAAACAGAUAAUCAUAGUAUCAAAGUAGCCGUUGUUUAGGAAUAUAUGGAGAAGGCAAGUAUACAGAUACAGUGUGGGCAUCAGUUAGGGUUAUAAUUUUCAUUUUGCUUAAUGAACUUGAACAUGUAUCUGUUCAUUGGUAUGGUUUAAACAGUUACAGUAAUAGGAUUGCUUGUGUUUUUUUAAUGUAUUUGGAGCUGAAUUUGAGUAAAUUAUAAAUUCAAAGUUUUUUUUUUGUUAUAUUUAAAGAUGCUGCUAUAUUAGAAGUUGGAUUACAUUUUCUCUCAUCUAAUAAAAAAUAGCAAAUUAAUCCUUAUACGAAGUAUACCACAUGUAAGUGUCUAGUUAUUUCAUUAACCACACCAAUUUUUAAUAAAAAAUAUCAGUUUACUGUUUGAUCUAAUAUAUAAUGAUAAGUUUAUUCAUUUGUUAAGUAAAAGAGACAAAAUACAAUUUAAUUUUUAAUACAAAUCCCUUAUAAUACUUUUACCGCUUAAUCAAGUUUAACAAGCUCGAGCAUUUUGAUUUUUCUUCUUAAUUAAGCCACGGUAAAUUCGAUUGAGCUUUUAAAUGUCAAAUUUCAAACUAUUUAAUAAGUAAAAUUUGAAUAUACUAAUAUUUGAAUUGAAUAACUCAUAAGUUUAACGGAAAUUUUUUUUUUAUUUAUUUUUAGCUAGUAUUGAAAAAUCUCAAUUUCAACUUCAACUCAACCAUGAGAGUCAUGUUCAUUUUUACUUCAGCUCAACCAUGAGAAUCAUGUUCAUUUUCACUAGGAAAUAGGCUUAAUCAAGCUUAAUAAUCUUAACUAAAUUUUACUCGAUUAUACUCAUCUAUAAAUGAAAACAUGUUACUUGGAUUACACCCAUGUUACUUGGAUUCUUUAUUCUUCUUAAAGUACUAUCCAAUGUUUUUAAAAUUUAACUGGUGAUUGAAUUUGUGAUUGAACUUAUCAUACUAUUAAUUCGUUGAUUUAACUGACUUGAUUAAAAAAUUAUUCAAAAUUCAAAAAAGAAAAAUUUAAAACCCCAAUUCAACUGACUUUUUAGUUGGUUUAAUCGAUCCGUACCAUUUCCUGACCUAAUCGGUUCAAAGCCACUCUCCGGAUUGAUACCCCAACCAAUUUAUGAUCCAUUCCAAUUUAAACAACAUUUCCAAUAUCAAUAAUGGCAUUUCAAGUUAUUUUGACUUAACAGCAAUGGUGAUUAAGUUCACAUACAUACAUAAGAAAUUAGAGCUGCUGCUUCUCUAUAAAUGAAAACAUAUAACCUAUGUGGCUCGGAAUUUUUAUUUUUAAAUAUUCGUAUCUGAAACAUAGGGUUAUACAACACUCGCACCCGAAUCCGAGUAACAUAAUAUAUAACUCCUCCCACUGCAAUGAAAGUUUCUUUAUUCAAAGGAUUGAAAGUUCAUUAAUCUGAUCAGUUAGUCAAUCCUCAUUUCUCAUUUGGUUUCAAGUACAAAUUCUGUUUUCUUAUAUACUCUAUCACUUCAUCUACAGUCAAAUAUUUUAUAGACAAUCCUCUUGAAAUGCAUUCCCUGAAACAAAAAUGAAAAGAAAACAGGGAAUCUCCAUCAAAAUCAGACUCGAAAAUAAAGUUGCAUAUAUCUUCUAGUACUAUAAUAGACCAAAAACUAAUGCUGUUUUACCUCAAUCUAGUUGAACUGAUUUGGUUCGGGACAAGUUCGUCGACAAUUCUAAUGUUAUCCUGAAAGAAACAAAAGCAAAUGUGCCAAAAUCAGUGAGAUAGGCCUUUUAUCCUGAAAGAAACCAGCAUAUAUGACUUUGUGGGACUCUAAUGUUCCUUUCCGGAGCCAAUUGAAGUUCAAAUAUCAUCAAGGGUAAUGACCGGGAAUUGAGACCUCAAUUUGCUUCUUGUGAAAAAGUGGAAAGAAUCGAGAAACCCCAGUACUAACCUGGUUUUCAUUCAAAAUUUCAUCGCCGUUGAUGAUUUUUUCCAAAUCUUGUCCUUCUCUACGAAUGCAAACCACACCGUAAUCCUUGCAUAUACUUCUAACCUGAUAUUUGAUGCAAAUUCCAAAGUUAGUGCCUUCAUAUGAUAAGCUAGAGCAUGCUCUACGCAUUAUAUUUAGACCAAAAAAUAUAUCCUUAAUGUCCCCAUCGUCCUUUAACACCAAUACCAUACGAAGAGACUAAUAAGCAUAUACCUGCUCAGGGAUCCAAAACCCGGGAAUGCUGAAAGAUUGAACUAAAUCAGAACCACAAACAAGCAUGACUUUAAGGGAUUCUGCAAAAAGACCGAUAUCGUUACUGUAUCUCCACUCCUCAUUAUCAAUUCAAUAACCUUGUAGGUUGUCUUUUUUAUUGGAUCUAACAUUUCAUAGUUCUAUUUUAUCCCAACCAAUACAUCUGAUCUUGACAAACGAACCAAAGAAGUUACUAAAUGGUAUCAUUAAACAUGAGAUAAAUAUAUUAUAUGACCCUUUUGAGCUGACAACAAUGUAUGAAUGACCCAUAUGCAUGUUGAUACAGCUUCUAAUAUUUAUUCAUUUGGUUGUAUAUAGUAUGUUAUUUGAAAUUAAAAAUUGUUCAUUUGUUAAACUUAAAAAAUAUGAUGGUUCACAGAGACAGUUCCGGGAAACAAGAAUCUAGUUUUUCCAUUUAAUCAAGCAUCAACCCGUUAUUGCAAACUGAUUAUAAUGCAUAACUGUAUCUAUCAAAUUAUGUGUAUUGGUAGGAAAGAGAGUUUAAGUUUUUGCUUGUAUACCCUUAGGUAUCAGUCCACCCUCAAUCAAGAAGCUCUUGACUCGAUUAAGAACGGUUAGAGAGCGCUGAAAAGAGCUUUGUUUUGCCUGUAAAUGAGAAUGGGAAAAAAAAAAAAGCACUUUAAAAGGCAAGUCAUACUUUGCAAAUGCAACAGAUGUUCCUUACGAUUCAACUCGGGUUUUCCAACAAAUUUGCAAAACAAACACGGGAGAAAGAGAAACAGUACCUCCCAAGGAUCAACCAUGAUAAAAUCGGAACUUUUACAGGCUAGAUUACACAACUCGAUACGAUGAUCAGCAGCUAUAAGGCCCUGCAUAAUCAAUCAAAACUACUCAAUUGUAGUAUAUAUAACCACAUAACAAGAUAAGCACAUAUAACUAGCUAUUGCCAUUUUCCUCUAAUUUAUUCAUUUUUGGAUUAUAAUCCAACGCAUUAGUGAUUGAAUUCUAGCCAAUUUCACUAACCAAAUUAUUUCCAAUUUUUCUCCAGAUGCUAAUGAAUCAAAACCUAAGCUUAUAACAAAAAUUGGUAAAUUCUACCAUUAAUAAAUAAUUCAGUAAAGAAAAAGACUAACCUUUUUCUUGUAAGCAUCAUUUACAGGUGACAUAUAGCCUCCUAUAACACAAAACCCAUUUGAAUUCAACGCAUCUCUAGCCAGUUCUAACCAUAUAAAAAUUUAAAAAAAAAAUCAAAACCCAUAAAAAUAAAGAAAAAAAUGAAAGCAAAUUAUAAUUUUAAAAAACUUACCAAACAUGCGUAAGUGCAUCAAAGUAGGAGGAUUGAAGCUUCCAGUAGCUACUAAAACUACAUAAAUUUUGUCCCCACUUUGAUUAAAUAGAAAAAGAAGAAGAAGAGAAAUUAGUAUGAUAUCAAAAGUAGAUGAAGUGAAACAAUAAAAAAAAGCAAUAAUUUAAAUAAAAUAAAAUAAAUAGAAGAGAGUAAUUUACUUGGUUAUUGAUGGUAGACAUAGUUUAUCUAAAGGCAAUGUGAUCUCCAUUUUAAGAAUUUUUUUGGGGUUUAGGGUUUAGUAUUUCAGAAAUUUUUUGAAUGAAUUAAAAAAAAAAAACCAGAACAAUUUUAUAGAAUAAAAUUCAAAGCUCUUGAAGAAAACGCAGAGACGAAAAAACAGGGGAGAAAAGAGAAAGCCGGUCUUGAUAAUCACCGUGUCAAAAACGACAGCGUAUGGUUAAUGUAAGUUGACUGCAAACGACGCCGUCUACAAGGCUAGUUUUUUUUUAAUUGCAUAUAUUAUUAUUUUGUAUAGCAUUUAAAUUAUUUAAUUUAAAAAACCAUUAAACUAAAGGGUAAACAACAUUUGAAUCAACUAUUUAUCAUCUAAUUAUGAAAAAUUACAAAAUAGUCACUUAUCUAUUUGAUUUAUUUUUUUUGUCACCAACAUCUAAAUUAUUAACGAAAAUAUAAUUUGACAGUUUUUAAAAUUAAUAUAAUAACAACUUUAACCCUCAAUACUUGUAUAUUAUUAAAAUUAGAUAAUACCAACCAAUUUGAGCAAUAAGAACCAAUUAAUUUGAAAAGGUGGCACGUAUCAAAUUGAAAUCCAUAUGCAAUAGUUGUAUAAAGUGAAACUCAAAUUUAGAUACUCACGAUAACUUUAACAUUUGUCAAUAGUAUCAAAAUAUUGUUAUUGAUUUAAUGAUAGUAUUAAAUGCAAUCACAUAUAUAAUCAUAUUCGUUGUCGGAGGGGUGUUCAUUCAGUUAACCGACCGGUUAACCGACCCGAAAUUACUAUAACCGAAUUAACCGACCUUCCAAAAAUUUUAACCAUUAACCAAACCGAUUUUUUUUAAAAAAAAUAACCGAACCGAAAUUUUUUCGGUUAAUAAGGUCGGUUAACCGAAUUAAUCGAAAAUUAUGUAUUUUUUAUUUUUGGUUAAAAAUUACCCGAAUUACCGAAAAAUACCCGAAUUACCCGAAUUUUUUUUAUUUUUUAUUUUUAAAAUUUAAAAAAUUUGUAAAUUAUUAAAGUAAAUUGGGUUUUAGACUUUAGUAAAUUGGGUUGUCUUUUAGUUUUAGUUUUAUUGGAUUGGGUAAUUGGGUAAACUUUAGUUUUAGUUUUAUUGGGUUGGGUAAUUGAGUUUGGGCUGGGUUGGAUAAUUUUAUUUAUUAAUUUUUUCGGUUAACCGACCAGUUUCGAACCGAAUUAACCGUUAACCGAAAAAUCAUAAAAAAAUUAACCGACCCCCGACCGAAAAAUUCGGUUAACCGACCGAUUUAACCGAAUUCGGUCGGUUAACCGAAUUUUUUCGGUUUUACCCGAAUUAUGCACACCCCUAGUCGGAGUAACUAUAGUCAAUCAGAUAGCAUACAACCAUUUAUACAUGUAAACCAGUGCCAAUCACAUUCAAUUCAUGUUAAUCAAAAAAUUUCAAGUCUUAAUCGAGCUUACGAAAGCUCUUUUGUUGACCCGAGUAUGAAAUAGAAUCAAAUUGCAAAGUUUUAAAAGUUUAAGGUCAAUGUCAUGAUGUCGCCGAACGGUUUCUCAUGUCGUGACCUCAGGCCACUCAACGUCGCAAUAUGAUUCACUGUCGGCCGGCAUUGCGACGAAGAAGGUUGGUCAUCGAGACGUGGGUUCUAUUUUUGAUAAAAUUAAACCAUUUGGCACCUAUUUCAAUGCUUCAUUACAUAUCUAUCAUUAUGUUCAGCAAAACAUCAUUUUUACUUGAUUUCAAACUUACCAAAUCACGUUAUACAAUUCAAACAUUCAAUCCAACCAAUAAACAAGCAUUCAAUACAUAAUCUCCAACUAAACUCGAACAAUUCAAAUGACAUUUUAUUUUAACAUUUAGCCAUUUAAAUGCCAACCCUUGUUUAUGCCAUAACAUCUUGAAGCAUACCACUCUCUUUUUAGUUAAUCAAAUACAUGCCAAAUCACAAUUCAACCAAGACAACAUGUGCCAUUUCAUAUAAGCAUCAACCAUUUCCAAACUACCAUUUCUACUUCAUUCAUGCCAUUUCAUAUAUCAUUCCUUUGAUUAUAAUUCACCUCACCUAUUACCAUAAGCACAUAUAUAUACUCAACAACAUAAACGAUUUAGGUUAUUAAUUCAAUAUGAUCAUUAAAGGUUAAAGCAAACUUAUCAUUAGUAAGCAUAUUUACAUGCUAAGUUAUAUCACAAGACACCUUAUAUACAUGUCAUAAUUUAUGACUCAAAAUUAUCAAAAGCUAUCAAAUCGGUGAUAAGAUAGUGUGAGCUUUCCAACGAUCCGGCUUGACGCGUUCCGCAAGAUGAUGAUCUAAAAGGGAAAUAGGAAACAAACGGGGUAAGCAUAUAAAAUGCUUAGUAAGUUCAUAAACAUUAAAUAAAACUUACAUUAGCUUUCAAUUAAAUACAAAAGGCUAUCACAAGUUGCAUAUUUUAGCUAGCAUGGCAAACCAAAACGUUAACAAUGUGAGUAUUUACUUAUAUACAAUCAUAUGAUAUCACAAGUAAAUAAUAUGUCAACUCAAGUCAUUUACUUAACCAAACUCAAAACUUAUUCAAUUUAAGGAUUGUUACAAUCAUUUAUAUAUAUGACAAUGUCAACAUUUCAAUACCAUACUUAUGUUCAAUUUAACAAUUGUCCAUUUGGACACUAAGUUCAUAUCAUGUAAAUUUCACAUUAAUCAUUUUGUCUGAGCAAAGUAUAUUCAUAUCAAGUUACCAGUCCAAGAUAAACAUUUAUACAAAACAUCUGAUUGUUUAUCCAAACUGAAAGUAUACAUGUCAGGUUACUCGUCUGAGCUAAACUUUUAAAAUUACAUCAAGAUACUAGUCCAGGCUAAACAUGUGUCACAUGUGUCUUUGAGUCCACAACAAAUGUUGGAUCUCAGUAAUAUCUGUAACCAAUCUUGUACAAGAAUUCACAAAACUCUAUUGGCAUUGGCAUGUCAAUCGUAUCCUAACCUUUAAUAAGUUCACACGGGCCCUAUUUCCACUUAUACCAUCAUUUUACAAUUCAAACCAAUUCUCACAUUUUUCAUCAAUUCAUAACUAAGCCCACAUAUAAAUCAAAUACACAAUAAACAAUUAGCAUAUGAACUUACCUAGUCAAAACAACAAACCAAUUGAAUCAUCAAGGACUAUUCGACAAUUUUGACUUUUCCCUUAUUAUCUUCGGUUUGAUUCAAUUCUUGAUCUAAACAUUUAUUUUAAACAAUUCAUCAAUACCAAACAUUUUUAUAUCAUUCCAUGAUAUGAAUGAAUCUAUUUAACUCUAUUUUUUGAAUGCCCUUAAUUUUUACCUUUUAUUCAAUUUAGUCCCUAAAACUGAAAUAACAAUAUCUUUCAAAUUUGAGUUUUGGUUUCAAAACCGAUCUCAAUCACAUUCAUUAUAGACCCUCUACUAUCUAUUAUUACAAAAAUUUUAUAUCAAUUUCAUAACUUAUUCACUUUAGUCCUUAUGUACAAAAACUAACAACUAAUCAUUACAAUUUAGUCCUUUUCCAUAUCAAAGCUUAAAAUAUAUCAAUUUAACACCAAAAUCUUCAAAAAAUCAACAAUGACAACUUUCAAAAACUUUAACAAUUUUAAAAAUUUGGUGGAAGAAGAAAAAAAAAGUACUUUUCACUUACAAGCCGUUUAUACUUUAGUUUAUUCCUUAAUCACCUAAUUAACUUAAUUAAACUUCAAUCUCAAUUAACCAAAGUUAGUGGAAGAUAACAUCAUUCUCCACUAUUUUAUUAAGUAAAAUGGUUUAAUUAUCGUUUUGAAUCUUUUGCUAUUUAAAAAUCUAUAGUGGUAAGAUUUUUACAAUUUAAUUCUUGUACCUUAAUUAAACAAUUAAUAGAAAAAAUUAAAGAACUAAACUCUAAUAUUCUUUUAUAUAAACUCCAUAAAUAUUUAUAAUUAAUAUUUACGGACUCAAUUUACGAAAAUAGAGUUUCGAAACCGCCUUUUUCAGCACCAUUAAAAAUCGAGAUUUAUGUUCAUUAAAAAGAAAAUAGACCAUUGAAAAUCGGGGUUUAUUUUCAUUAAAAUUUAAUUGUGCUGUGAUAAGAAGUUCAUCUUGGAUUUAUGUUGGUUACAAUGAGAAUCCUUUGAACUGCCAUUGUUGCAAGCUGCAUGCACUAUCAAUUCUAUUCAUAGAAUCUCAGGCCAAUAUCGGUGCAAGCUAACAUAGACCUAAAAGUACUCCAAAAAGAUACAAACCAUAGCUAUAAGGGUCCUCUAAAAUGCAUCGGCAAUCGCUGCAUCGAUACCAAUUGUAUCAAACUCGAUCUCGUCUUCGGUUCGUCGAGCCACUUCUACCCUAAAGCUGUUGCAGAGAUCAUCAAAGUCUCCCAUUGAUGCACAAGCACCAAAAUAUUGAACACUUACUGUCUGCAAAGACAAAGGGUAGGAUCCUAUAAGAUUAUUUGGUUUUAUGACACAAAGAAACCCAUAAAUUUGAGAACCUUGAGAACAGGAUGUGUAACACUUGACAAUUAACUCCAGCAAAUGGUAUGAUAUUUGAUAAUGGGAUACUUGGAAAGGAAGGUAAAAGUGGAAUGUUAUUUUUUAUGAUAUUAAUAUAUUUAUUUAUUAAUAAAAAUAUAUAAAAAAAUUUAAAAUAUUCAUAUAUUUAUGUUGUAUUAUACUUUAUAAGUAUCACAUAUCCAUCUUUAAAUGUAAUAGAAGAGGUAACAGUUGAAAUCUCAUCGAAUAUCCUACCCAGUACUUUUAUUAAUAAGGAAAUAUGUCAUACUACCCAAGCUUCAACGACAUAAUUGAAUAAGUUUCUAUAAUUAUUUACAGAUUUAGUUGUAAAAUUUUUUAUAUUCUAUAUUUUCAUUCUUUACGUUCAUGAAUAUUUUUCUCAACAAUGUAAUCGUCAAAAUUCAAACAUGCAUCUCUUUGUAUAUCUUUAUUUUCUACUUUUGACAAUUAAUCUUCGAAGUAUAAUAUAAUAAACCAAUUCAUCUACGAAGUAUAAUAUAAUAAUCUAUCUUUUUUAAAAAAAUUUAUUUUAUGUUUGGAUGAAGAUAAUCCAUCCUUAUGAUAUAGUAGUAUAAACAUCUGAAAAUUGCAGACUUUCCCAAUGAUAAUUGCUGCAACAUUUUACUUCCUAAUAAUAGUAAUCUAGCUAGAAUUAAUAGAUAGUUUAAAUAAUAAAAAAAUUGAAUAAAACCCCAAAUCAAAUUCAUAUUCUUGGCAUGUUCUUCUGGCUAUAUAUAGUUUGUAUUUUUAUUUGAAAAAUACUUCAUUAAAACAAGGGCAGGCAGGCAUAGAAUGGAAAGCAUGUGGUCUACCAGCCAAGGCUCUUCCCCUCAAUAUAUAGGCAAGCAUUUGGUCCAUCACAGUUGAUUCACUUCAUUUUUACACCCACUUUAUAUACACACAACUAUUUAGUUAAAGGUUUUCAAUUAUGGAAAAUAGAAAAGAGGGUGAAAUUGAGGACAUGCCAAUGCCAUUGUCCCCACCAACAAUGGGGUCUAUGCAGAUUGCAGGAAGCAAUGGUUUUGGUCAUAACAUUGAGUUCAUGUCUCAGGCUUACCUCAGAAACCGAUACUCUGAGAUCGAUAUUGAGGACUACACCGUGUAUGCUGAUAAAGACCACCCUCUCCCCAUAUUUCUCAAGGUAGUUGAUUUCUUGGGUUCUUUUGAUUUAUUUGAUAUUUAUCGGUAUUAACUUUUUCGAUUGGUUUCGUAAAUGAAGUUUGAAGAUGUGGAAUACAAGGUUCGAAGUAGCCAAGCAGCCUCAAUCAACCCGGUGCGAGUGGUGGUGUCAAAGUUUGCCUCGCAACUUAACUUGGAACAAGAUAAAUACAAGGAGAUCCUUAAAGGUGUAACAGGCAGCACUGGCCCUGGUGAAAUCCUAGCUUUGAUGGGUCCUUCUGGUAGUGGCAAAACAACCUUGUUAAAAAUAAUAGGUGGAAGGUUGACAGAUAAUGUGAAAGGGAAUAUAACAUACAAUGACAUACCUUACAAUCCGGCUCUUAAACGAAGGUUAGCUCAUUUUUAUCGAAGCUUUUCUUUUUUCUGUCAUUCAGUCGAUUUUGAGUGUUUCAUUUUCUUGAAGGAUUGGAUUUGUGACACAAGAUGAUAUCUUGCUCCCCCAACUAACAGUGGAAGAAACCUUAGUUUUUUCAGCAUUUCUGAGACUUCCGAGUGACAUGAGCCUGCAACAAAAGUAUGCAAAAGUAGAGAUGAUUAUGAAGGAGCUAGGCCUUGAAAGGUAUGAACUAUGAUCAUCACUGAGAUAACAAACAGACCUUUUACCUUCUUUUCAAGUUAUCUGUUGCAUAACUGUAGAUGUCGUCACACGAGAAUCGGGGGAGGAUUGGUUAAAGGAAUAUCAGGAGGAGAAAGAAAAAGGACUAGUAUUGGCUAUGAAAUUCUUGUUGAUCCUUCAUUGUUGUUGCUCGAUGAACCAACUUCGGGUCUUGAUUCCACCUCAGCCAAUAAACUUAUUCAUAUUCUUCAAGGAGUUGCUAAGGUAUCCUAAUUGACCAUAACAUGUACAGAAUGCACCAUUUUCAUAUAACAAAUUAGUAAAUGGUUGAUGUUCUACAGGCAGGGAGAACUGUAAUCACAACAAUUCACCAGCCAUCAAGCCGAAUGUUUCACAUGUUUGACAAGCUUCUCCUGAUAUCGGAAGGAUACCCUAUUUACUCCGGGAAGGCAAGAGAGUGCAUGGAAUAUUUUUCAUCAUUGCAAUUCAUCCCGGAAAUAGCAAUGAAUCCAGCUGAGUUCUUGCUUGAUUUAGCAACUGGCCAAGUUAAUGACAUAACUCUGCCUGAAGAUCUAGUGGCAUCUCAAGGAACUGCUGAUUCAGACAGGGCUGUAAUCAAAGUAUAAACUCCUUCAAACUAACAAUUUAAGUGGGCAUUGAAUCCCUUUCUAUGAUCUUCUCCUGAAAACAAUUUUUUCUUUACAUCAUAUUAGUAUCUUCAACUCAAGUAUAAAACUCAUUUGGAGCCAAAGGAAAAGGAAGAGAAUCAUCGAAGUACCAAGGCGCCUCAACAACUUCAACUAGCCAUUCAAGUUAAGAAAGACUGGACAAUAACUUGGUGGGAGCAGUUCAUGAUAAUAAUGAAGAGAACCUUUCGAGAAAGACGAAGGGAUUACUUCGAUAAACUAAGAUUACUACAAUCAUUAGGAGUUGCAGUCUUACUAGGUCUGCUUUGGUGGAAAUCCAGUGCUGCAACCGAGGCUCAACUGCGGGAUCAAGUAAACAUUUCUCAAACUUCAUUAUACAACUCUUUGAAUCCCUCUUACAUUAAUCAGUAUGUGUAAAGUGCAGUUUUCCACACUCUUUUUUGUUUUAGGUUGGUCUGCUAUUCUACAUAUGCAUUUUUUGGACAUCUUCAUCAAUUUUUGGAGCAGUAUAUGUUUUUCCUUUCGAAAAGGUCUAUUUGGUGAAAGAAAGGAAAGCCGACAUGUACAGGUUAAGUGUAUACUAUGUUUGCAGCACUCUGUGUGACAUGGUAGCACAUGUUUUGUAUCCUACAUCAUUCAUGUUGAUUGUCUACUUCAUGGCUGGCUUUAAGAGAACAGUCGUUUGUUUCUUCCUCACAUUGUUUACCAUCUUACUGAUAGCAAUUAUAAGCCAAGUAAGUCAAGCAAUUUCGGAUAUAAGACUUAUUUUCAUUAAAGACUCGAAUAUCUCUUUCAACUAAUGCAAUCUUAAAACCUAACAAAUGAACAAAAUUAGGGAGCAGGAGAGCUAUUUGGGGCUGCAGUUUUGAGUAUUAAGAGGGCCGGGAUGAUGGCCUCUUUGGUUUUGAUGUUGUUUCUUCUAACAGGAGGUUACUAUGUCCAGGUACUUUAAAACUACCAUGAAAAUCGGUUCCAAGUCUUCAUUAGAGAAAACUAUGAAUGAGUUCACUAAAAAAUGUGGAGUGUGUUGUUUUUGUUUUGCAGCAUAUACCGAAAUUUAUGAGGUGGAUGAAGUACUUAUCUUUCAUGUACUAUGGCUUUAGGCUCCUGGUGAAAGUGCAAUACUCUGGAGAUCAAUUGUACGAAUGUCAAAGCAAAGGUGGCUGUCGGACUCUGCAGAAUUCACCUUCGUUUGAUACGGUUAACCUCGAUGGAGGCUUGCAAGAAGUAUGGAUUUUACUUGCCAUGGCGCUAGGCUACCGAUUGUGUGCUUACUUUUGCCUGCGCAAAAGAAUCAGUGGAUGUCAUAUUUGAGCAGGAUUCUACUUUGCUGAUAAAUAUAUGUAACAAAAGACAGGUCGAGGGGCUUUGAUUACUCCUCACCUGUUAACUUUUGAAUUCCAAGCAUGUGCAGAAGUUCUAAAACAAUGUCAUUAAAUUUUCAAGGUGUCCUGCAUAUAAAGUAAUUUGAUUUGAAUAUUAAAGAAACUUAAUUUGAUUUAAUCAAGUCAUUAAAUUAUAUGGAAUUUAUUUUAGUAACUGUAUAAAUAUGGCAGUAAGAAACUGUAUAAAUAACCCAGAAAAAAACAGCACUUAUCAUUUAAGAGUACUCGACAAUAACUAACAACAACAUAACAAAAGCAAAAAGCACCAAACAAAAUGUAAAACAAGCUAACAGAUGCUUCAAAAGUAAGAUAAAUCUACUGAUCUUAUAAAAACAUGUUAGGCUUAAUCAACUUCCUCCAUCUUGCUGCCUUCGGCAUCAGCAUCCUCCAAUGGGGGCAUAUCAGCAUCACCUUCACCUUCACCUGCAUCCUCAUCAAUGCUCAAGCCGAGUUUCAGCAUCCUGUGGAUUCUGUUGCCAAAGGUGUUAGGCUCAUCAAGGCUGAAGCCAGAGGUGAGGAGAGCAGUCUCGAAGAGAAGGAGAACAAGGUCCUUCACAGAUUUAUCAUUCUUCUCUGCAUCGGCUCUCUUUCUCAGCUCUUCCAUGAUGGGGUUCUCCGGGUUGAUCUCCAUUGUCUUCUUGCUUGACAUGUAACCAGCCAUGCUGUUAUCCCUCAAAGCCUGGGCCUUCAUGAUUCUCUCCAUGUUUGCAGUCCAACCAUACUCGCCAGUCACUAAACAGCAAGGUGAGUCAACCACACGAUCAGAAACCACAACCUUUUCAACCUUGUCACCCAGCACAUCCUUGAUGACCUUGCAAAGACCCUCAAACUUUUCCUUCAAAGCUUCCUUCUUCUUCUUCUCAUCCUCACUCUCAUCAAGUUUAAGACCUUCCUUGGUAGCUGACACAAGCUUUUUGCCCUCAAAUUCUUUGAGCUGUCCGACAGCAUACUCAUCAAUAGCAUCAACCAUGUAAAGGACCUCAUAACCCUUCUUCUUCAGCUUCUCAAGGAAGGGAGAGUUCUCAACUGCCUUUUUACUCUCACCAGUGAUGUAGUAGAUAUCAUUCUGACCCUCCUUCAUUCUGGUCACAUAGUCCUUCAAGCUGGUCAGCUCAUCACCACUCUUGGUGGAGUGGUAGCGGAGCAAUUCGGCAAUUUUAGUCCUGUUCUGAGAGUCCUCAUGGAUACCAAGCUUGAGGUUCUUUGAGAAUGCCUCAUAAAACUUGUUGUAAUCUUCCUUGUUCUCUGCUAUUUCAAAGAAGAGCUCAAUGCACUUCUUUACCAAGUUCUUGCGGAUAACCUUCAAGAUCUUGUUUUGCUGCAACAUUUCUCUUGAGAUGUUCAAAGGAAGGUCCUCUGAGUCGACAAUACCCUUAACAAAGCUGAGGAAUUCAGGAAUCAACUCCUCGCAGUUGUCCAUGAUAAAGACACGUCUCACAUAGAGCUUAAUGUUGUUGGGCUUCUUCCUUGUAUCAAAGAGAUCAAAAGGAGCCCUCUUGGGGACAAAGAGGACAGCCUUGAACUCAAGUUGCCCCUCAACUGAGAAGUGCUUGACGGCCAAAUGCUCUUCCCAGUCAUUUGUAAGGCUCUUGUAAAAAGCAGCAUAUUCUUCCUUGGUAAUCUCCUCAGGCUUCCUCAUCCAGAUGGGCUUCUGUUUGUUCACCAAAGACCACUCGUGCGACACCUCCUUAAUCUUCUUCUUUUUCUUUUCUUCCUUCUCUUUAUCCUCAUCAACAUCCUCAACUUUCCCUUCUUCGUCCUUCUUAUCCUCCUCAUCUUCAUCAUCAGAAAUCUCCUUCUCAGUGGUCUUCUCAAUCCAAAGGGAAAUCGGGUAGCUAAUAAAUUCAGAAUGCUUCUUAAUCAAAUCCUUCAAACGUCGCUCCUCAAGGUACUCAAGCUGAUCCUCUUUCAAAAACAGAGUAAUCUUUGUACCCCUACCAAGGUUCUCCCCGGAAGUAUCCCUGGUAACAGUGAAUGAACCACCAGCUUGGGACUCCCACACAUAUUGUUCAUCAUCAUUAUGCUUUGUGGUUACAAUAACCUUCUCAGCAACCAAGUAUGCUGAGUAGAAACCAACACCAAAUUGACCAAUCAUACUAACAUCAGCACCAGCAGCCAGUGCUUCCAUAAACUCCUUAGUACCAGAUCUUGCGAUUGUACCAAGAUUGUUCACCAAAUCUAAACAACAGAAAUAUAUAUCACAUUAAAAUAUGUUCAAAAUUGAAACUCCAGAACUGAGUGCACAACAAUUAAGUAGAAAUAACAAAGUACUUACCAGCUUUGGUCAUACCAAUACCACUAUCAAUGAUUGAUAGAGUGUUAUUGGUCUUGUCUGGAACAAUAUGAAUGAAGAGCUCAGGCUGUGCAUCAAGCUUGCUCUUGUCUGUCAAGCUCUCGAACCUGAUCUUAUCCAAAGCCUACAGGUAAAAGAUUUAACAUCAUAUACUAAUUACUAACCACACCAAAAGGGCACUUCAGUUAUGUUAUACGCAUUAGAUUCACGAGAUCUUUCUUAUUUACUCUUUUACAUUCAAAGAAACCAAAAAAAUGUACUAACAUACCGCUUCAAUUAAGUUCCAAUAAGCAUAAAUUAACGGCCAACUAAAAAUACAAAAGCUAAACCCUAAACCCUAAAAAUAUUUCACUAACAAAAGCAUUAUGCAAAUCAAAACAAACAACCACUGAACAGAAAAUUACGCAUUAAACAUCAUAACAACAUAUAUCCAAAGCCAAAAUAAACUCCAACAUUUCUAUUAUGAAACAAACAAACAAAAAGAAAUCCAUCAAUAUCGAAUAAAGAGAUCAGAUCCAUAUAACCACGUAUAAAAAAAUUCAAAAACUAUUAUUAUAGAACUUACAUCAGAGGCGUUACUGAUAAGCUCACGAAGAAAGAUCUCCUUGUUGCUGUAGAAAGUGUUGAUAAUCAAACUAAGAAGCUGAUUGAUCUCAGCUUGAAAUGCAAACGUCUCAGUAUCCGCCAUUGAUGAUAAACCUCUAACCUCCCGAUCCAAAACACACUAAGAAAUAUCGUAAAAUGAGAGAGUAUUCAAAUUUCGAAUAGAGAGAAAGAGGAGAAAAUAUCAGAGUGAGGCAGUUCUGUGAUGCAAGGCUUAAGGGUACCUUAUAUAGGGGAACUUCAUUAGGGUUUCUAGAUCCUUCUAUUGACGUACUUUUAAAAAAAAUAUAUUUUUGGGUUUACCUAUAUAAUAGCAGAAUAGGGAAUGCGGGAGCCACUCAUUUAUAUGCUUAAUACUUUUCUUCGCCAAUUAGACUUUGCUUUCUUUUUUUGACUUUUUUUGUUAUAUUUAUUAUAAAUAUAUAAAAUAGAAGGCAAAAAUGUUCGCUUAAAAUUAAAUUAAAUGUUAAAAAAUAAAAAAUUAUAUUCAAUUAAAAAAUAGAAAAUUUAAAAAAAAUUAUGAAUCAAGACGAGAUGAUGUUUUUUUUUCAAAUACAUUUUUUAGAAAAAAUAAAUAAAAAUUACUAAUGACGGAAAAUGCUUUUGGUUAAAAUCAUUUUUUGUAAAACGUGUAUGAUAAGUAACAUUUUAGCUUCCACGUUCGAUGAAGCUUCUUAUGGAAACUUUGAAAACGACUUUAAAAUUUAUAGAAUUUAUUAGAAUUAGUGGGGAUGAUGGGUCAGGUUGGGUUUGGUUCAAGUCGGAUCGAGUCAGGUUGGGCAUCAAUAUAAUUUUAGAUUCUGUCUAAAAGAUAGACUUAAAAUUUUGUCUAUAUUUGACUCGGAUAAAAAUAUUAAAACCUGAGCCCGAAUUGAUCUGCCCGUAUUGAAAAUAAAUUUAAAAUUUUUUAAUAUUUAUGCUUAAAUAAGACUAUAGGUGUUCAUGGGCCGAGUUGGGCUCGGGCCUAAGAAUUUUUUCCCGGGCUGGGUCUGGACAAAAUUUUAGGCCCAUAUUUCGGGCCGGGCCGGGCCCGGGCCUAGUAUGCGGGCCAAAAUUUUUUAUGGGCCGGGCUGGGUUACUAAUGGCGGAAAAUGCUUUUGGUUAAAAUCGUUUUUUGUAAAACGUGUAUGAUAAGUAACGUUUUAGCUUCCACGUUCGAUGAAGCUUAUUAUGGAAACUUUGAAAACGACCUUAAAAUUUAUAGAAUUUAUUAGAAUUAGUGGGGAUGAUGGGUCAGUUGGGUUUGGUUCAAGUCAGAUCGGGUCAGGUCGGGCAUCAAUAUAAUUUUAGAUUCUGUCUAAAAGAUAGACUUAAAAUUUUGUCUAUAUUUGACUCGGAUAAAAAUAUUAAAACCUGAGCCCGAAUUGAUCUGCCCGUAUUGAAAAUAAAUUUAAAAUUUUUUAAUAUUUAUGCUUAAAUAAGACUAGAGGUGUUCAUGGGUCGGGCCGGGUUCGGGCCGGGCCCAUAAAAAAUUUUGGCCCGCAUACUAGGCUCGGGCCCGGCCCGGCCGGAAAUAUGGGCCUAAAAUUUUGUCCAGACCCGGCCCGGGAAAAAUUCUUAGGCCCGAGCCCGGCCUGGCCCGGCCCUUUUUUUAAAAAUAAACACCAAUUUUUAAAAAAAUUUAAAAAUAUUUUUAAAAUAUUUUUGAAAUAUUUUAAAAUAUAAAAAAUAUAAAAAAUAUUUUUUAUUAUAUAUUCGGGCCGGGUCGGGCCCAGGCCAAAAAAGUCGUGCCUGAGGCCCCCAAACUCAUAUUUCGGGCCUAUAUUUUUAUCCGAACCCUCCCAUAUUUCGAGCGGGCCGUCCGGCCCAUGAACACCUCUAAAUAAUACUAAGAUAUGUGCAAGUUAGUAAGGAAAUAUCUUUAAAAUAGUAGCAAAAUUAAUAAUAAAACAAGAGUUGUACAAUAUUCAAACAACAACAACAAAAUAAUAAUAAUAUAAUAACGAAAUAGCAGCAAAACAGUGAAAAAGCAACACCAAAACAGUGGAAACAGCAGCAGGUUUGUUUGUUUCUUUACAAAUUGGGAUCAGACCAGGCUGGGCAUGGGCCAAAAAUAGCUUACCCAAGACUCGACCCCUUUAGAAAAUGGGUUUCAUUUUUUUGCCUAAGCCUAUUUUUUGAGCCUAUAUUUUUACCCAAACCCUCUCACUUUUAGGGCAGGCCUUCGGACCUGAUCGAGUGACCUGGCCCAUGAUCAAGUCUAAUUAGAAUAGUUCUUGCACUUUAAAUACUAGGUUUUUAUUCACCAUUUGGCUUUUGAAGUAUAUUCAUUUUUUUAUAUUUGUACCUAAAUUUUUUUGUACCAUUUUAGUACUUGAAUUAUAAUUUUGUUACACUUUUUUGGCCAUUGCCGUUAAUGGUGUUAAAAGAACAAAAAUCGAUUAGAACACACUAUGUGUUCCUGUUGACCGUUGAUGUGGACGUUGAUCGAGUUUUAUCCAAAUAAAAAUCAUUUAAAAUUAUAAAUGUCGAAACCAUUUUUUGAAAAACAAAAAAUUUUAGGUUGUCGACUUUUUAAAAAAUUAAAAUUGGGAGUCGCCACCAAUCUUUAUUAGGGUGUGAUUGGAUCACCUAAAAACGGCUUUGGUCUACGAGUUUUAGAAAAAUGGAUCCGGGAGUCAGUUACGUAUGAGGAAGGAUUAGCACCCUCGUAACGCCCAAAAUUGGUACCUAGUUAAUUAAUUAGUGUCUUAAGGUCAAGAAUUUGGAAAAAAUGUAAUCCUUAACAAAACUUAAAAGGCUACGUAUUAAGACCAUUAUUAUUUCAGAGAAAGAAGAUACCACACCCAAUGCGUUAGGGCACAGCAUUCUAAUUUUCCCCAAAAUGAAUUGGGCCAAAAUACUUGUACAAUAAAAUUUUAAAAGAACAUCCACUUAUCCAAGAUUUAAGAAAUCACACUCAAUACGUUAGGGCACGAUUCCUCUAGAAUCCCAAACUCGGAAUAUUUCCUUUACUUUAAAAGAACAUCCACUUAUCCAAGAUUUAAGAAAUCACACCCAAAACGUUAGGGCACAAUUCCUUUAAAAUCCCAAACUCGGAAUAUUUCCUUUAUUGUUUUUAGAAAAAAAAUUCAUUUCGAGAAAUCAAUGCGUCACAUCCAAUACGUUAGGACACAACGUGUUGAAUUCCCAAUAAUGAAUUAUUAUUUUUUGAUUAAAGAGAAAUGCUCGAUUGUUAGACUUAACGAAGAAAAUCGGAACCCAAUACGUUAGGGCUCAAUUUCCUUGAAAAUUCUAAUUUCAAGCAUUCUCUCAAUUUUGAAAAGUUUGAAAUCGUGUAAAGAAUGAUGUGAUGCUAUAUUAAAUAUACAAUGCAAUAAUAAAUAUUACAAAGGCCUAGAAAUAAUAUAAAUAAAUGAAUAAAUAAAAUCAAUAUACAUAAUAAAAAUAAUCACAUAUAAAAUAUCAAAUAAAUCAUAAAAAAAAUUCUUUUUAACAUAUAAACGGAAACAUGAAUUAAUAAUCGAAUGAAGAAAAUAAACAAAAUAUAAAGAAUUAAAGGCACAUAAUAUAUACAUUGAAAUUAAAAGCCAUACACAUAAUUUACAUAUGUAACUUUGGAUUAAAAUUUAUAAAAGCAGAAUAUAUAAUGCAUUUGUGAAAAUAAAAUAUAAAUUAUAAAGUAAGUGUUAAAAAAUACAUAUAUUUGAGCAUUUAAAAAAAUAAAUAUAUUCAUAUAUAUAUACAAGUAUAUAAAAAAACUGGUUAAAAAUAUUAAUAUGUAUACAUACAUAUAUAUACAAAGAUAAAUAUAACAUAUAUAGAUUAUAAAAAAUAAUUAUAUAUAAAUAAAAUAAAAUAAAAAUAGUUACCUCAUAUUAAAAAAAUAAAUCUGCGAAAAAUAUUAGUUUUUAAAAAAAAUAUAAAUACGCACAUAGAAACAAGUAUACAUAUAUAUAGCUAAAAUAAUAAUAAUUACAUAUGAAAAUAAUAAUAAUUACAUUAACAAAAUUAACUAAUUUUAAGAAAAAUAUAAAAAGGAUUAAAUUGAACUACAAGUAAACAAAUUUGGGGUCAAUCUGCAAAUAAAUAAAAUUUGGAGGACUAAAUUAAACGAGCAAAUUACAUAGAGGGGCUGGAAGGGAAAUUUCCCUUCUCCUCUAAAAUGGUGUCGUUCAAAAGGAUUAAAUUGGAAUUUAAAAUAAAUAAAAGGGUAAAUUAAAAAAAAGAAAGAAAACUUAAUUAAAAAAACAUUAAAAGGCGGAGGGGCUAAAUAAAAAAAUAAAUAAAAUUCGCAGUGAUAUCACCUUCUCCCUUUUUUAAAAUCGUGAAUAAGUAAAAAAAAUAAUCGAAAGAAAAAAAUAGUAAGCCACCUUUAAAAAACUGCCAAUCGUUCUUUUUUAUUCCUCCUCCUCUUUCCUCUUUUUUUUACAAUGAAGGAAGAGGCCUCUAUUUAUAAUUGAGCCUCCCCAAAUCAAACGGUACAGAUCAACGGCUGAGAUUAAAGGGUGUCUACAAAUUAAAUCUCUAAGAUUACAAAAUCGUAUCUUCUAAGAUUACAUAUCAUAUCUAGGAUUGCAUAUCAUAUCUAAGAUUUCAUAUCCUCAAAAAUUAUGUUUCCAUAUGUGAGCCCGGGCUAAAAUUGGGUAUUACAAUAAAUUUUUUGAUUUUUUUUAUUCCAUGUGAUGCCUUUGUUUGAUGAUGUUGGUAGGGAAGUCAUUCAUCUUUCUUGGGUAAUUUGAUAAACAAUCACCAUGGAUUUUGAUUCAAAGAUCCUUUAAAUAUGCAACAAAUGAUUGUUUCAAGAACAAGGAGAGAAAUAAAUAAGUAAUCAACAAUCUUUCCAAUGCCAAAGAAGCAUUAAUAUUUUUCAAAAACUUGUAAAUCGUCAUCACUUGGAAUUUAAAUAGUGCUUCAAUGACCCAAAUUUAUGGCGGAGAAACAACAAGAAAGAAAAUUGUUUUUACCAUUUUUAAGCAAAAUACAAUCUUUGUAGGUUGCUAAUGUUCCUUUACAAGUUUACAUGUGUAACACCCUUUAUUCGAGUAAACUCGGGCAAUGAGUGUUACAUUUAACACUGAACAUUUACUUACGAAUUCAAAUAGUUUUAAAUUGGAAUUUUACAAAAGAUAUCAGGUCCUUAUUAUGUUUUUAGGAACAUAAUUUAUCUAAUAAUAAAGAUUAAUUGCAUGUAAAUAUUGUUUUAGAUCUCAUAUCACUUAAUUAAAAUUUUUGCCCUGCAGGUCUGUAUGUCUCGAGACCAUGGCCUUCAUGUCUCAAGAUAUUGUCAUGGCAUUGUAGAAAUUUGGCUUUGAAAUUGCCUUAUCUAGGGAAAAUAGGGCUUUUUUCUCGAGAUAAAGUCCAAUAUAUCUUGAGACAUGGCAAUGUUAUUGUAGAUUUUUAGGUUCGCAGCUUUGAUGUCUCGAAACAUAUUUUGAGUAAUACCCAUCGCCUGACCUAAUUGUCGAGUCCAAGCUACCGGAUGCUACAGUCAUUGCCGAAGCAAUUACAGUUAAUUUACAAGAAAAUAAUCAUAAUCGCAUAUAAUUUAACAUCAAACACAUUCAUCUAUAGUUAAAGAAUCAAAACCGAGUCUUGUUCAAGCUUACAAAAGCUCUUUUGUCAACCUGAGCUCAAAAUAGGACCAAAUUGCAAAUUUUUAAAAUUUCAAGGUUGACGUCGUGAUGUCUCCAAAUAGUUUGUCAUGUUGUGACCUCAAGCCUCUCGACGUCACAACGUGACUCACAUUGAUCGACAUUGCGACGAGAUAGGUUACUCAUCGGGAUGUGAACUCUAUUUUUGGUAAAAAAAAUAGACCAUUUGGUACCUAUUUCAAAUAUUCCCAAACAUACCUAUCAAUUUACGCACCAAAGCCAACUUCAAUUGAACAAAAACAUACCUCAAGCAUACCAAGACACAUAACAUUUCAUACCAAAUCAAGUCAUCAAAUACUUCCAUUCAACCAUUUCAACAUAAGUUCAACUACUAUCAAUUAUUCAUUUUCAUACAUUCCAUCAAAUACCAUUCCAUAUAAAUCAACCAAACCAUUCAAUUAUCAAUCCUUACCUAGGCCAAGUAAUAUAGGAUCAUGCCAUUUCAUUUUCAUUUCAAAGACUUCAGCAUGUUUGCACAUCUAUUCAUUCAACUUACCAUUUCUUCCAUAUUUAACUUUUAGCAUAUCAAAUGACAUGUUCAAGUUUAAAAUCAUCAAUUAAACAACAUCAAGCAUUAGCUAAUAUUUCAUACACCAUCUAGUACAUACCAAUUUUUCAACAACUCAAUAUUUGCCACAAAUAUCAAACGUACCAAAUGAUCAACAUAGUGACUAUUUCCUUAACAUCUAAUCCUUAUAUACAUGUCAUGAUCCCAAAACUCAAAGUGAUCAAAAAUCUUACCAAUUUAAGGAUAGUGUGAGUUUCGAGGUAAUCCGGCUUGACGUGUUCCACAAGGUAUUGAUCUACAAGGAAAAGGAAAAACAACGGGGUAAGCAUAUAAAAUUCUUAGUAAGUUCAUAUGAAAUUUACAUUACUUACCUUAACAAUUCAACAAGCUAGAUUACUAAACAUAUUGGCAUUUAAUUGCCCUUCCUUGACAUACUUUGAUGCAACUAAGACACAUAAACAUAUACAACCAAAUAGGUUACCAAGAUCAUUUAGUAAGUAAUCAUAUACCAUAACUCAAUUUGAAAGCAUAUGCAAUCCAAUAUAUGCCUAAACCAUUUUAAUAUUUCCAUUUCCAUUAGGUUAAAGUUUCAUCUGAGGGAACUAUAGUAAAACGAACUCGGAUAAACGGGAAUAUUUUACUUACACAACCUGACAUUUUAACGAAAAUGCUCACACAAGUUGGCAUCGUAUUGAGGUUACUAGUCCAGGCUAAACCAACAAUACAUAUAACUUGAGAAUCUGCAACAAAUGCUAUAUCUCGUAUCAUCAUUUAAAUCCUUGAUCGAUUACGUGUAUAAUCCUAAUGACAUGUAAUAUGUAUCUUAAUCUUUUACUAAGUUCACACGAGUAUUAUUUUCGUCUACAUAUCAUUAACAAACCUUGUACUAGUUUACAUAUUUCAUACAAGUGCUGUAAACAUUCAACAUUCACAUUUGAUACUCCGUACCUAUUCGUAAUAACCAAUAUUUUCAUGUUUUUCAAUUCAGUCCAUGUGAACUCAAAUAUGUUAAUUUCACCAAUUAAGUAUAAACACCCAAUUGAAACAAUACAAUUCAAAAUUUUUUUUAAUAAUUUCCAUAUGAACUUACCUGGUAAAACAACAAAUAAAUGAAUCUUUGAGGACUAAUUGAUAAUUUUUGCUUUUCCUCAAUUUCUCUGGUUUGGUUCAAUUUUUGAUCUAUAUAAUUAUUCAAUUCAAUUUAUCAAUACCAAAAAUUUUUAUAUCAUCUCAUAAUAUGCAUGAACUAGUUUAAAUUCCAUCUUUUCAAAUGCCUAUAAAUUUUACAUUUUAUUCAAUUUAGUCCCUAAACCCGAAAUAGAAUAACUUUCAAUUUUAAGCUUCGAUUUCAGAGCCAAUCUUAAUCACAUCCUUCUAGGACCCUCUAUUAUCUAUUAUUAUAGAAAUUUCAUAUCAAAUAUUCAAUUUAUACACUUUAGUCAUUUUUGACAAAACUAACAAUUAAACUUUAAAUUUUGGUCCCUUUUUCACAUCUAAGUUUAAAAUUUAUCAAUUUAACAUCAAAUUAUUUAAGAAAUCAUCAAUGGGAACUUUUAAAAACUUUAACAAUUUUACAAAUUGGUACAUGGGCUAGCUAAAUCAAGCUCUCAUGACCACAAAAACAUAAAAGUUACACGAAAAGAACUUAAUUGAGCAUACCUAAUAGUUGCUGAAACUUUGAAGCUUUUGAAACCCUAUUUCUCCCUUUUAGUUUGGUGGAGAAGAUGGUGCAGAGAAAAAAAUGGUUUGUUUUUCUUUUAAUUUUUGCUUAUAUACCUUUAAUUAACUUGAUUAAUCAUAAUUAAUUAAUAAAAACUUAAUUAAUUAAACCUUAAGUGUAAUCAGCCAAUGGGUUUUAAAUACAUCCACCACUAUUUGAAGCAAUUAAAAUGGUUUAAUUGCCUUUUUGAUCCUUUAGCUAUUUAAAAAUCUAUAGUGAUAAGAUUUUUAUAAUUUAGUCCAUGUACCCUAAUUAACUAUCAAUUCAGAAAAAUUACUAGACCAAAAUUUAAUAUAUUUUUAUAUUAACCUCGUAAAUAUUAAAUAUUAAUAUUUAUGGACUUAAACUACGGAAAUAGGGUUCUGAAACCAUAGUUUCUGACCCCACUAACAAUCGGGUUGUUACAUAGUUUCUUCCGGCUCCCAUGUAGCCUUUUAUGUACUGUAAUUAAUACUUUCAUUAGUGCCACAUGUUUAUUUCUUAAAUAUUUUAUUCUCGAGCUAAAAUCUUUACCGAUUCUUCACUAUACAUCAAAUCCGGAUGUAAUUCUAUUUCAUCAGGAGAUAACAUAUGGGAUAGAUAGGAUAUAUAUCAUCGUAACAUUGAUACGUGGAAGACAUUAUGAAUCUUGUCUAAUUAUGGACGUAGAGCUAGUUGAUACGCUACAGGUCCAAUUCUUCCAAGAAUUUCAUGCGACCCAAUAAACCUCGGACAGAGUUUUUUUUUCUGUCAAAAUGCAAAACUUUCUUCCAAGACAAAACUUUCAGAAAGAUUUUAUCACAAAUCUGAAAUUCAAUGUCUUUUCUUUUUAAGUCACUAUAAGACUUUUUUCUGUCGAAAGUAACUUUCAAACAGUCUCGAAUAAUCUAGACCUUUUCUUUUAUUUCUUGUAUCAAAUCAAUUCCUGUUAACUUUCUUUCGCUUAACUCUAACCAGCAUAGAGGAGUUAUGUAUUUACAACCAUAUAAAACCUCGUAAGAUGCCAUUUUAAUGCUCGGAUGAUAGCUAUUGUUGUGAGCAAACUUAUCUAACGGUAGGAAUCUUUUCCAGCUACCUUCAGAUUUAAUCACACAACAUCGUAACAUAUCUUUGAGUAUUUGAAUCACUCGUUUUGAUUGCCCGUCAGUCUGAGGAUGAAACGCUAUACUGAAAUUCAGUUUCAUACUCAAGGCUUCGUGUGACUUACCCCAAAAUCUGGAGGUAAAUCUUGAGUCUCAGUCUAAAAUGAUAGACAAUGGCACACUAUAUAAUCUGACAAUAUCUGAGAUAUAAAUUUUAGCUAACUUCUCAUGGUAACCAUUACUAUCUUCCUAAAUAAAAAUAUUAAUUAAUUACAAAUAAUAAUUAAAUCAUUUUUCCUGGACAAAUGGCUUGUGAUCAUGUUACUUUUCCAUUUAUCAUGUAAUGCCAAUGGAAGAAUAUCAUUUACCAUAUUUGGGCUAUGAAUUCCACUAUUGUAAGUGGUGUUAUGUCAUGCAGAAGUUGUAUACCUAAUAUACCAACUUUUGGCUCUAUUACCCAUUUGAACUUGGGUUUUUAAUAUCUAUGCAAAGAAGGGCAGAAGGUCUUUGGGAGAACCCUUUAGGAAAACACUAGACAAGAACAUCCUUAGAUUAUCAAGUGUUGGACUUGUUCCCUUGGUUGAAGGAUCUUCACUUGUAGCUACUUCUUUGUUGAAAUAUGUUCCUCUGAACGUUGUUGCCUCCACCCCUUUGAAUAGCCUUUAAGGUACUAGCCUAUAAAUGAGCUUGAAAGUUAUAGAAAUCAUACCCUCCUUCAAGUGGCAAAGACAAAUGUCCCUCUACUAAUAUAUCUUUAGUCUACCUUUUAUUUUCUUACUUGUGUGUUGUUUUUUUUAAUGAAUGAGAGAGAAAACUUGGAGUAAAAACUUCAAUUGUUGGAGGGGGAAUUGGAAGUUUUAAAGAAUAAGUGUUUUAAUAAGGAUAGUCACCCGAAAAGAGACCAAUUACAUUAUGUGUAACACCCUAAUUCUGGCUCAGAAGUCCAGUUGGAUCCAAAGCCUUAUAGUGGUCGCUAGCACGAACUAGUUCAAUCAAUCAUUCAAUUUAGUCUCAAAAUUAAAAAUUCAAAGAAGUCCAUGAUUCAUAACAAUACUAAAAAUCUAAAUUUUAUCAUUUCAUCUGAAUUUUCUGAAACAAUUCAUUUUAGGCUUAUUCACAAUUUAGCCCUUGAAAUAUACCAAUUUUUCCAUUUUAAUACCUAAAUUUUUUUGUCCCAAUUUUUUACCUAAAGUAUCAAUUUCCUCUAUUUUUGGUCCAUUUGUAACAGAAAUUAAAAAAAAACUGUUAGGCAACUUUGGCCAAUGAAAAAACGGCACAUGGCAUGUUUUGGCCAAUGAAAAAAUGCCACAUGGCAAUUAAUUUUAUUUAAAAUAAAUUAUUAAAUUUAAACUUAAAAAUAAAAAAUUAUAAUAUUAAAAAUACUUUUGACAUUGACCAACCACAACAUUGACUUGCCACAUAGCGCAAUUAGAACAUACAAUGUGUCCCUUUUUUUUUACUAUUAUAUUGAUUAAGAAUGUAAAAAAAAUCAUAUAUAAUAUAUACUUUUUAAAAAAAUUAAAAAUAUUUUUUUAUAAAAUUUUAAAAUAUAUAAUUUUAAAUUUUAAAAAUUCAAAAUAAUAUAUAAAAAUUAAAAAGUGUUAUAAAAAUUAAAAAAAGGUAUUUAAAUUUUUUUACACUUUUAGUAAUAAUAUUAUUAAUUUCAACUAAUUUCUUUUCAGUUAUCCUAUUUUUUAUAAAUUUUAUUUUUAUAAAAAAUUAUAAUUUAUGUUUUUUCUAUAUUUUAUAUUUAUUUAUAAUUUUAAUAUAUUUAACUUUAUUUUUUAUAUUUUUAAUGUAUAUAUGCAUUUAGUAAAAGAAAAUAUUUAUUUUUACAUCAAAAUGUACAUGGCGCUUUGUGAUUAGUUACAAGAUUUUUUUUAUCGUUUGUCAGAAAAUGAACUAAAAAAUAUAAGGGAGACAUAUACCAAAUUGAGGAUUUAAGUGUAUUUUAGAUAUCAAAUUAGGGAAAAAAAUUAAGUACCAAAAUGAAAAAAUUGGGAAUUCUUUAAAAGUCAAAUGAUGAAUUAAGCCUUUAUUUUACCAAUAUUAUACAAAUAGUUCGAAAAAUUUUCACCGAACUGAUCUCAUAUCAGCAUGAACUCAAUACUGAAAUUUUCGGGGUGUUGCAUUAUGUUAUUAAGAGCAAGGAUAAAGAGUUGGCAUUGUUGGAGAGAGAGACAAAGCAUUGUCUGAGGAACUGAAGAGGGUAAUGAAGGAGCUACCUGUUGAUACAGCAAAGAAUGAAGAUCUAGUCGAGCAGAUACUCAACACUACACAAUGCCACCGCGAAUGGACGCUUUGGAAAUGCAGCUAAAGUAUGGGCCAUUAGAUUUCCUCAUGAGUUGUUGCAUCCCGUGUUAGAACCCUUAUUAAAAAGAGUGGAGCUUCGUGCUACUGUUGCUGCUCCACUAGAGAAUAAUGAGAGACUACGAAGGAAGCUACUCUAGAUGCUACCCUAGGCUUUGAAUAGAAUGUUAUAAUUAGUCAAGCGACUACUUCUGUUGUCGAGGAUGACUGAACUUUUAUAUUGUUUUUAUGAACCAUUGGUUUUGUUUUUUCGUGUUUGUUGUUUAUGAUCUAGGUUCAAAGUUGUUUGGAUCAGUGACGAUCAGGCUAGGUUGCUUAGCAGAAGAAUCCAUGAAGGAUUCCCAGAAACGACAUCAAUUCUUGACAUCGUUUUUGUGAUAUUGGUCAAGAUAGGUUGAAGGUGAGCUAUUGGUGAUCAGUAACACAAAAUCAAAGGGUGCAAGAGUCUUCUGAAGCACCCUCUGCUUAAGACAACAAAGUAUAACGGAAGAAGGAUCAAAGAAAGCAGGGUUUAUGGAAGAGAUUGUUUUCGUACCUGAUCAACAUGGUGAAAGUGCAUAUUUAUAGGCUUUGUGCCUAGAGCUGCUCGGGCUGGUGCCUCGAUUUCAGUUGGUUGUGCUUGGGCAUUUUUUUCGCAUAUUCAAGGUCAUUAGCUUCCUACCUUAUUUCGUUUUAACUCUUCUCGGUCCUUGAUUGUGUGAAAGCUUUUGAGCUUUGCACAAGAAGGUCCCUUAUGAAGCAUUUCAAACCUGUUCUUAUUAUAUUAUGAGCUGAUAACCUUUUUGUGGGUUUUUGGUGAUUGAUUAGCCUACUAUUGAUUAGACCAUUAUAUUUGUCUGGGCUUGAGCCUGUGUGUAUUGUCUUUAGGUCUAUACAUUGAAUUUUGUGUAUUAAAACUGUUAUUUUGGAUUUAUCCAAAAUCAAAAUGGUAUUGGAUUUAGAUGUGUUGAAUGAGUUGAGAUAAGGCUAUUCAAACUGAAAAAAGAAGAUUAACACACUUGUGAGUCGGCGUAGCUAUGCGUGUCGACGGUGCUUGCUUUGCAUGCUUGAUUAAUUUCCUCGACACCUACGGCUCGUUGUCGACGGUAUUUCCUACUUGGUGAUUCGCAGAAGUUCCUGCAGCCGUUACCCCCAUUAUUCACAUUUUUGUUUGUGGAAAUCAAAAGAAAAUACAUCUACUGCUGCUACUGCUGCUACUGCUGCAUACAAUACCGGAUAUCUUAACAAGGCUUUACACCAUUCAAUAUUAAAAAAGAAAAAGAAAAAGGAAGCGGUCCCAUCAGAUCAUAUGGAAGUUAAUUUCCAACUUUCACAUUUUUAAUUCAAGUAAAGACCUGAUGAAGCAAUGUAUAAUAACCAUUUAAGAAAACAUAUGGCAACAGCAACCAUUCUAAGCAAGCACCAAAGAUAAGGCACCGAUAAAAUGUAUAAAUAUACCAGAAACAGAACAGCAAUUAUCAUUAAGAACUUUCUCCAAAAUCACUAACAAAACCUCCCAAAAAGGCACAAAACAAAAUAUUAAACCUAAGGAUAACUUCAAUAAUAAUUAAAAAAAAACUAGUAAAAAGUUCCAACAAGAAGAGUGGUGCUUAGUCAACUUCUUCCAUCUUGCUGCCUUCAGCAUCAGCAUCCUCUAAUGGGGGCAUAUCAGCAUCAGCUUCACCUUCACCUGCAUCCUCGUCAAUGCUCAAGCCGAGUUUCAGCAUCCUGUGGAUUCUGUUGCCAAAGGUGUUAGGCUCAUCAAGGCUGAAGCCAGAGGUGAGGAGAGCAGUCUCGAAGAGAAGGAGAACAAGGUCCUUCACAGAUUUAUCAUUCUUCUCUGCAUCGGCUCUCUUUCUCAGCUCUUCCAUGAUGGGGUUCUCCGGGUUGAUCUCCAUUGUCUUCUUGCUUGACAUGUAGCCAGCCAUGCUGUUAUCCCUCAAAGCCUGGGCCUUCAUGAUUCUCUCCAUGUUUGCAGUCCAACCAUACUCGCCAGUCACUAAACAGCAAGGUGAGUCAACCACACGAUCAGAAACCACAACCUUUUCAACCUUGUCACCCAGCACAUCCUUGAUGACCUUGCAAAGACCCUCAAACUUUUCCUUCAAAGCUUCCUUCUUCUUCUUCUCAUCCUCACUCUCAUCAAGUUUAAGACCUUCCUUGGUAGCUGACACAAGCUUUUUGCCCUCAAAUUCUUUGAGCUGUCCGACAGCAUACUCAUCAAUAGCAUCAACCAUGUAAAGGACCUCAUAACCCUUCUUCUUCAGCUUCUCAAGGAAGGGAGAGUUCUCAACUGCCUUUUUACUCUCACCAGUGAUGUAGUAGAUAUCAUUCUGACCCUCCUUCAUUCUGGUCACAUAGUCCUUCAAGCUGGUCAGCUCAUCACCACUCUUGGUGGAGUGGUAGCGGAGCAAUUCGGCAAUUUUAGUCCUGUUCUGAGAGUCCUCAUGGAUACCAAGCUUGAG
rnacentral:lncRNA from 1 species